CAAAUUUCAAAUUUUAAACUUUAAAUUUUAAAUUUAUUUUUUUAACUUUAAAUUUUAAAUUUAUUUUUUAAAUUUUAAAUUUAAAAUUCUAAAUUCUAAAUUUCAAAUUUUAAUUUUUUAUUUUAAAAUUUUAAAUUUAAAAAUUAAAUUUAGAUUUUUAUAUUUUAAAUUUUAAAUUUUUAAAUUCCAAAUUUGAAAAUUUAAAAUUUAAAAUUCAAAAUUUCACAUUUCACAUAUCAAAUUUUAAAUUUUAAAUUUUUUUUUGAAAUUUUAAAUUUUAAAUUUUAACUUUUAAUUUUAAAAUUUAGAAAAAUCCCGUAAAAUUGCACCAUGCGUAUCCAAACAGUUUAAAAAUUGAAUCUGUGGAAUUUUUAAGAGUUGCAGGAUUCUCUAUUUUAUAUAGGCCAAAACCACAGUUUAUAAAUUCCGUAGAAAUUUUUUACUGUACAUCCAAACAGGCCCUUAUUCUAUUAAUUUAGUACUGAAGAUGAGAGAGAGAAUAUGAGUUUGGAUUUGAAUUUUAUGAAAGAUACAUAUUUUGUACACCACUUUAAUUAUAAUGAAGAUAUCCACUCCGUUUUCGCCCAUAGACGUAGGCCGGUGGCUGAACCACGUAAAUAUUAUGUGCUUUAUUUUUUCUUCUCUCAUUUUCGAUUCUCUUUUGGUAUUUUCGCAUCCGACAAACUAGAUCUUUUUGGUUUUAGUUCUAACAGUUUUCAUCUACAAAACAUUACCUUAUCGCAUGAAUUUAUAGGAAGGUCUCUCUUACAACUUAUAGCAUUGUCAAACCUUGAAAAUGACAAUUUUAUUUUAUUAAAAACUGUCCAAUUAUAUACUAAUUUUUUAUUUUUACGAAAAUUACUAUAAAAUAACUUCGAGUUCCACACUAGACGGGAUUCCUCUAAAACUUUGUUCCAAAAGUUUCAAUUCUUUACAAUAGAAAGGAAUCUAGCAGGUGAAUGAAUCAAAUCACCUAAAAUUAGUUAGUGACCCUAAAUUGAGAUUCGUCUCUCACUAAAGUAUAAGGUUGCCUUAUUCUUUUAAAAUUGCUAACAAUAAUAAGAUUAACGUGUAGAUGGUCCCUUGAAUUGCUUGUAAGUUGCACUUUACCUUCCAAGAUAAAAAUAAAAAACACUUAACCCUCUUAAUACAAUAAUAAAAGCAUUUUAUUAGGUUAUAUUUUUCAAAAAAAAUUAUAAAAAUAAAUAAAAUAUUUUUUUAUUUUACUCUUUUCUUAUUUUUUCUGCAUAGUACUUUUGUCACGACCUUCUCUAUUGCUGCUGCUCCACUACCUCUUCCUCCUCAUCUGUUCCUCAAUCUUUUUUCCCGUCUUUAUUUCACUUCCCUUCCUCUUCCUCUUUAUGAUUGGUAUAUUUGAACACUAUCAUUUUUUUUUAUUCUUUUUCCGUUAAUAGGAAAAAUGUGAGGUAAAAAAUAUAUUAAAAAAAUGAGAAAAAAAGGAAUAACUCUAUAUAAUUUGAAAAACAAAGAAAAGCAAUUUAUAUUAAAUAUAAAAAUAUAAAAACACCUGUCUUUACAAGCUUAAGCUUUUACAGUAUAGUGGUUAUUUAACAUGAUAUUAAUUUAAGUUUUUAGAGUACAGCGAUUGUUUCAUUUAUUUCACAUAAUAUCAGAGCACGAGGUCUAGAGUUCAAGCAUUACCAGAUUCCUAGCAUUAUUAAUUUCAUUUUAUUUAAUUCAAGUAUACAUCAUGAGCCUACAAAAAGCGUAUUGUAAAAGCUUAAAUUAUUCUCUAAACACCGUUCAUAUGAAACAACGAUUAUUCUCUAAUAAAAGCUUAAGUUUUUAGAGUAUAACGAUUAUUUAAUGUGGCUCUGAUAUCCUGUUAAAUAAUAUGAAACAACCGUUGUAUUUUAAAACCUUAAGCUAAUUCAGAAUAAUAUUUAAAUAUUUUAUAUUUAGCCAUUUCAGUUUUAAAAUUAAAUUUUUAAUGGAAUUGAAUGGACGGGCCGAUGAAAUGGGACGCGUGAGUUCUCAAGAGUACUUUUUUUUCUUUUUCUUUUUUUUGUGAGAAACAAUAAAUGCAACAUGCCAUUUAUUGAGAAGAAUUGAAAUCACUUAAGCCUAAAAAUAAUAAACUAACAGCUAUAUAUCUAGGAAAGGAUUGCCCUUCAAACCUAUGUAAAAUAUUAACUAUUUUAAGUGAGCCAUAAUUAGUGUGGGUGCUCUAAAAGCGCAUCAACCACAUAAUUUGAGGACAUAAAACAGAUAAUAAUAUAUUCAAAACCCUAAGCCUUUCUUUAUGGUGGGCCCAAAACUAAACCAAUAGGUUGGCUCUUUGUUAGGAAAAAUUCCACAUGUUGGACAGUACUAAUUAGGCUCUCUUGCAUGCAUUUUAAAGUGCCGCUACCACUGGAUCUGAGAUUUCUAGUGCAACAUUAAUUCCACAAGAAAACAUGUGGCUUCAAGAAUGAAUAUAUAUAUAUAUAUAUAUAUAUAUAUAUAUAUAUAUAUAUAUAUAUAUAUAAAAUAAGAAAUUANUUUAUGAUCAAACUAUUUCAAAAUUGUCAAUUUUCAAUGGCUAUUAUGACGAGUUUGGAGUUUAACGGUGUAGAAGAAUCUAAAUUUCUUCAAAUUUUGAUAGAAAAUACUUUAAACUAUAUAGAUUAAGGUUAACAUUCUUGAUUUUGAAUUUAAAAGUCCUAUGCUCAAAUUUUAAAGAUUAUUCAAUUUUCACCGUCCAUUUUGAUAUAAUUUAUUUACUAAGUAAACGGUAUCGAAAAAAACUAAAAUUUUAUACCUAAGAAAUUCAUAUACCCUAGAUCAUAUUUAACGGUGUGGAUCGUUGAUUUGAAUGCCCUAAGAUCGAAAAUAAACACUAUAGUACCGGAGCUCGGUACUAUAGAUAGUAUAGUAGCCUAAUUCUAUAUAUAUAUAUAUAUAUAUAUAUAGAGUGAGGUUACUAUGCUUCUGAAAAUACGGAGCCUUCUGUGCUUCCAGAUCGUUUUUCAUGUUGCGACUUUCGAAUCGUCGAUCGGCUCCGUUAAACUUGAUCUAGAAUAUUUGAAAUACCUAGAAAAUAAAUUUUGCACUUUUUCGAUAUCAUUUGCCUAGUGAACUAAGGGGCUCAAAAUCAACGGCUGAAAAUAAAAAUCUUACAAAACGUGAUAAUAUGACAUUAAAAUUUUCGAUCAAAGAUAUUGAUCUUGUUUUAUAUUGUAUAAAGAAUUUUCUAUCAAAAUUUUAUGUGAUUUGGAUAUUUCUACACCGUUAAACUUGCAAACGGCUCACCACGGCCAUUAAAUUAUAAAAUUAUUCUUAUCCCCGAGAACAAUCCAAUUUUCAUCCAAAUACUAUUUUUCUUAUCUCCAUAUUUGUACUUAUUCCUGUAAUAAUUAGUUUUUGCUUAUAUCCGAACCAAACGGUACCGGGUUUUGCCGGAGAAAGCUCAAACAGAAUUCGCUGUUCAAAGGUUUGAUAUCGUUUUUGAAUUUUGGCGAGACUAAUCUGUGUCGUUUAUAUUGGAUGGCUCGAAUUAGGUAUGCGAAAAAUCGGCCAGUAAAUGAGCUUCUCGUGUGGAAAUUGUUACGCACAGUAUCAUUGGAAAUUUGCAUGGGGAUUCAUUUUGACAAAUCUCUACCUGCCCCCUGUUUGAAAAUGACACAAAAAUAGAUGUGAACUUUUGAACCUCCUUUGAUUAUUCUCAUUCUCAUGCUUUGUUACAGUUAUACAACAAGCUCUUUUAAAUCCUUUUUCUACUAGCCGUCCCUAGCGCAAGUGACAAAAGAUUAGCUAAGUUUAUUUUUAAAUGAAAUAAACAAAGCGGAUAACAUGCUACCUAUCUCUUUUUUUUAAAAAAAAAGUACUUUUUCCCUUGAUGUCUAUAUUUAUGGUAACUAUCAUUAUUUGUUCCCCCAUGCACCUAUUUAGGAAUUAGGAUCUGAUAAAUACUAAAGUAUUAGGUGAAAAGGAGUUAGAGAAAGAAAGAAAAAAUUAUAUAUAUAUAUAUAUAUAUAUAUAUAUAUAUAUAUAUAUAUAUAUAUAUAUAUAUAUAUACGUCCCGACUACUAUACUAUCGCUCCGUGCUACAAAAGUUGUUUUCGAUGAGCGGCUUCAAAUCGACAAUUGGCUCCUUAGACUUGAUCUACACUAUUGAAAAUAUUUAAACUAAAUUUCAAAUUUUUUUCGACAUCAUUUGACUGUGAUCAAAGAUAUCAAAAUUGACAUUUUUAUGGCCGAUGUGAUAUGUUUGUGAGUUUAACGUGUAAAACAAUCAAUCCGAUGAAAUUUUUAUAGAAAUUUUUUUCACUAUUAGAGUAAGAUCGGUAUAUCUGAUCUUGAAUUUAAAUCUUUUAUCAUCAUUUUUUGUGAGAUUUUAUUUUCACCGUUCAAUUUUAGACCACUUGUUUGAUAAUAAUGAUAUCGAACAAUUAUAAAUUUAGUUUCUAAAUACUUAAAAUAGUGAGAUAACAUCUAACGGCAGCAGAUCCGUCGAUUGGAAGGCCGAUUAUCGAAAAACAACUUGUAAGCACGGAGCCCCCGUGCUACCGAUAGUAUAAGUAGUGCCUAGUUCUAUAUAAAUAUAUAUGAUAAGAGGAGAAGAGAGAGAGAGACGGAGAGAGAGAGAGAAGGAGUUUGAGCUGAACUCACCCAAGCAAGCAACAAGAGGUUGGGCUUUUGAUUUUAAUUCCUUGGAUGGAGAAGUGUAAGGUUGGAUGAUGGUGUAGGGUGGUUUAGUGAAUAAUUUUGAUCAAUAGGAUUAUUAGUAGCCAAGAAUAUACUUCAAGGGCUAGAAACCUAGAAGCACAAGGGUCGUAUGUUUUAAAAAGUAUUAUAGCUCAAUUAUAUAUAUAUAUAUAUAUAUAUAUAUAUAUAUAUAUAUAUAUAUAUAUAUGAGCUAGGCUCCUAUGCUGAUUUCAUAAAUUUUUGACUUCGUUUAUCUAGUAAACGAGUUGUCUCAAAAUAAACGGCUGAAAAUAAAAAUCUCAUAAAAAACAGAGAUAAAGAACUCAAAUUUCAAAUCGGAAAUAUUGGUCUUGCUACUGUUGUUAAGUUGAAUUUUCUAUUAAAUUUUUAUCUAAUUUGGAUACUUCUACACCGUUGAACUUAAAAAUGUGCCACAUCGGCCGUUAAAAUAGUCAUUUUGGAGACAUUUUGAUCGCUUGGUAAAUAAUGUCAAAAAAUUAUAAAAUUUGGUUUCUAAAUAGUUCCAAUAGGGUAGAUUAUACUUAACGGAGCCGAUCGUCGAAUCGGAUUUCCUAUCAUCGAAAAUAACUUAGAAGUACGGAGGUCUCCGUACUUUCAAAAGUACAGGAGGCUUACUCAUAUAUAUAUAAAAUUGAGCUCCUAUGCUUUUAAAAGUACCAAGUUAUUUGUGCUUGUAAGCUUUUAGCCCUUGGAUUAAUAAAUGUGCGGUUAGGAUGAUGUGGGCCCCCUUGGGUUGAGUGGAUGGUUGGUUGAAUAAUAUAAUCUAACGGGUGAAAAUGAUCAAAGGCGUAGAUUUAACGGUAAAAAAUUCACAAGCACCAAGUGUUUGGUACUUUUACAAGCACCAUAGCCGGACUCACAUAUAUAUAUAUAUAUAUAUAUAUAUAUAGUAGGGUUGCUGUGCUCUCCUGAGCCAUUUUCGAUGAUGAAAUUUUCGAAUCGACGAUCGGCUCCAUUACACUUGAUCUAGCGCAUUUGAAGUUUCUAGAAAAUAACUUUUGCGCUUUUUUGAUAUCAUUUACCUAGUGCUCGAAAGGAUUCAAAAUCCAUAAUUUUUAAUGGUUGAUAUCUGCCGUUUUUAAGUUUAACGGUGUAGAAGUAUUCAAAUCAGAUGAAAUUUUGAUAUAAAAUUUUUUAUACUAUCUACAACAAGAUUAAUAUUUCUGAUCGAAAAUUUUAGUGCUAUAUCACCACUUUUUAUAGGAUUUUUAUUUUCAGCCGUUAAAAAGUGGUGAUAUAGCACUAAAAUUUUUGAUCAGAAAUAUUGAUNCAAGUUUUAGUUAUUAAAAAUUACCAACUAUAGACGGCAAAAGUUCAAAUUGCCACAUCUUCAUAAGUUUCCUUUCGAUCAUUAGGUAAAUGAUAUAAAAAAAUCAUAAAAAUUAUUUUCUAGAAACUUCAAAUACGCUAGAUCAAAUCUAACGGAACUGAUCGUCGAUUCGAAAAUUCUAUCAUCGAAAACAGCUCAGGAGCACGAAGACCUUCAUGCUCCUAAAAGCAUAGCAGUCCUGCUCUCUCUCUCUCUCUCUCUAUAUAUAUAUAUAGAGAGAGAGAGAGAGAACUAAGCUAAUAUACUAUUAAUGGUACUAAGUCAUUGGUGUUACCAAGUUUUUGGCCAUUCGAUUAAGAGAUGUGCUGUCCCAAUAAAAGUGUACAAUUUAUAUUUUAGUCCUCAAAAAUAAUAUUUAAAAAAAGAAUAAUGGAUGAAAUUUUUGACGGAUUAUUUACCCAAAGGGCAUGUGUAAGUAUUUUUUAUCUUUAGAGAGAGUAUUGAUAAUAUUUUUAACUUUAGAAGAACAUAUACGAAACAAAUGGCCUCCUAGGGAGGUACGGGUGGAAUUAUUCAUUUUUUAAAAUACUUAGAGACUAAAAGUAUAAUAUAAUAUACAUGAAAGUUUCAAAACUAAAUUAUUUUAAUUAGAAUUACAAAUAACUUAGUCCUCAUGGACAGUGCUGGGCCUGGCAAUCUAAGAACUCUCUUGUGUCAUACUUGCCGUGCUAUUCAAAUUUCGAGUAAUUUUUCCAAAAUGUUACCUACAAACUGCUUAAAACUUGUUUAAUCAAUAAAUAAUAAUAACUAUAUAUACUUUACAAAAACAAAUAUUUAAAAAAUAUAAUUUAAAAUUUAAAAUGAAGGAGAUUUCAAAUAAAAAAAAUUGAGCCACCCCUCGGCCUAGCACUUAAGGCCUGGCCCAGACUUGUUCGGCCGAUGUGGCCCAGUUAAAUUGAGAAACCCAAUUCCUAAAUUCUUAAGCAUUAAUCAAAUUUGCUGAGCGGUUAGGGUGAGAGAGACAAAAAAUUGGGGUCGAAGAAAAGAAAAAAUUGAGAAACCCAAUUUCUCUUCAAUUUCUUUUCUCUCCUAUUCUAACCACCGAUUAAAAUUGAUGAAUAGUUAGAAACUUAGGAGCACACGGAUUGUUGUGCUUUUAGCUCUGCUCUAUUGGUUGUACAUAAAGUGAUUUAACAUUUCUGGUGUUGCAUGUAGUACAGUUUUAUAUUUAGUUGUUAAUUAUUUUUUUUACUAUUUUCGUUGUGGUUGAUCUUGCUAUGGUUGAUUGUAUUGAUUGAUUGUUGUACUUUGGUUUCUACGCUGUGUAUGUACAUAAAAGAGUCUAUCCUUUUGUACAUGGGAGGUUUUGUCGAUGUGCCGGGUCUAAGCAUGCUUCGGGUUAGAGAUUCUGUCUGUUUGUAUAGGUAAGAUUAUGUCUAUGGGUUAGGUCUAGACAUGCUUCGGGAUGGUCUUUGGUAUUUUUUUCAAAAAAAUUUUAUAUGUUUUUUGCUGUUUUCUAGUAAAAGAUUUUACAAAAGGGCUUAGGACUUGACAUAUUCUUCCGAACCCAUUUAUACAAUAUCUAUAUAAUAACAUUAAAGGGCGAACCCUUAACAAUUUUGCAUCAUUCUCCUAAUUUCAGAUGUUGGUCCUGCAUCAACUAUUUUUUCUCUCCUAUUUUCCUCACCCUCUAUACACAGCUCUUUCUCUCUCUUCCCUCUAUUUUCAGGGAAACCACCCUUUCUGCCGCCCACCCUCUUUCUCGCACGCGUGAUAGGAUCCCUAAAAUUUGGGUAUCCUCUGGGCUUCUUCGUCGAUCCAUCAUGAUCCGCGCCACUGCCCGUCCUUCAAAUCCCAUGAAAUUCGUUGUAGAUCCUGCGCCGCUCCCAUCAAAUCUCGCCGAUCUCACAAUAUUGGAGGAUCCCUGUUAGCAUCCACGAAUCUUGCUUCUCUUUGCUCUCUACUAUUCUCUCUAGGAUUUUCCAUUAUAUUUUCUAAUCCCCUAUCAUUCUCUUUGCAGGAAAAAAGAAAGAGACUUAAAUGAUAGAGAAGAGUGAUGAGUGUAGUAUCCCUGGGGUUUAGCGGUCAGAGUGACUGUAGUAUCUAUGGCUUGUCGACACACCUGUAGAGUGUCGGGACGAGUUUGAGUCGUUUGGCGCGAAAUGGACGCAAAACGAACUCGGCGCAAUGCGAGAUUGGAGCUCUGACACUGAAUUUUGUAAAUUGUAGGUUUUGAGUGUUGAGUAUCGGUACCUGAGGGGAGUACCGGUACUAGGACUAGGUACAGAUACUGCAUCGGAUUAGUACUGGUACACAGCGUUUGGAUUGCUGGCUGAGUGCAGGGUACCAGUACCCAAAUUGAGUACCGGUACUCAGGCGGCAGAUUUGAGUUGGUAAGAGGUCUUUUGGUCAUUUUCGCUGUUGGGUUUAUCCCCGACCGACCCCAGCUAUAUUUAUGUGUUGAGCUUGGAGAAACAGGGUAGCAGCUCCUCUUUCUCUCUCUCUAGUUAUUUGAGGUUCGAUCUCAUUUCUUUUCUUCUCUCUAGAGGAUUGCUCUUACAGCUUGGUUGAUUUCGUUGAGGCUGUUCCGGCGCAGGGCUUCUUCGAUCUACUUCUAGCCGGUUUUGCAUGAGCAUUUGAGGUGGGUUAAUAUUGACCAAACACUUCGGAAUUCCUCCUAAGUUUUAGAAAGUGUCAGCAUGUUUCUAUGGAUAUUAUAGUCCCUUGUUAGUAGCUCGAAUUCAUGGAUUUGCUUGUUUUUAUAUGAAACCUGAAUUUGGAGCAUAAUUUAAUGAUUCUAGAUAAAUUAUUAUCUGCUGAACUGGAAUUUGACUUAGGAGAAAACUUAUUAAACCUAUACCUGACACUUUUCAAAAAGUUACCAGAUUUAGCUUCAGGAGCUGAUUUCUUUUUGUAUCACCGUUGUUAGAGUGUCGUGGAUACUUAGAUUAGUGUAGGUUGAGAUUACGCUCGUGCUGAGGAGCCGAGCUCGUUUCUACAGAAGAGUUAGACUGUUUUGUACUAUCGGGUGCCAUCGGGGCUGACGGAACCCAGAUUCCUACAUCUUGCAUCAGAUUGUGCCGAAGGCACGUCAGCCUUGGUUGUUAGACCAGUUUGACCUAUUUGUGUUGACUAUAGCCUGUGGAAGCCUGAUUGAGCUCGAUAAAGACACGUUUGCAUACUCGGUUGGGUCGCACCCACGAGUGCCGCUCCGGAGUGAGGCUUUUCUUGCAUUUACAUUGCAGUAGUCCCGUUUGGAUAGUUUUCUUGGACCGACCACCUCCGUGGGUGGUGUGCGGUGUAGUUUGGGCACAGGCUGGACUAGCCAAUUGGCGGUCCCUUGAAAUUGGAUCAAGGUAGUUGAGUUGUAGCAAGUGAUACAUUUUUAUGUCUACAGAGAGCAUUGGUUGGAUAGCUGUAGUAUAGUGGCAUAUAGCUGUAGAAUUUUUCCAGCUUAAUUUACUAUUCUCUAUCUAUCAGUUUCAUACUUAUACUGUAGACUUAGUGGGCAGGCCGUUGGGGUCGGUGACGGCACCCACUGAGGACUACUCUGUUUUGCAGUAGUUAUCACACCCAUUUGUUGCCACCUUUUUGCAGAGCUUUCGUCUGUUACUGCUAUUGCUGAUUCUGAUCGAGGUAAGAGAGUCACGAGCUAGAUCCCUAUCUACCCGGUCACCAUACUAGAGGAGCCCUAUUAGAGGUAGUUUUGGUUGUGCCAUGUACAUACAGUGGGUGUUUGGUUUUCGAUCUGAGAGAUGAUAGUAUUUUGGAGCAUGUAUGUACAGUGGGACCUUAUAUUUUAUAUAUAUAUGUUUUAGUUUUAGUAGCUCGAUAUUUUUAUUGUAGCUCCUAUCUGUUUGCAGGUACAGCUAUCGCUUCGUAUAUACGAAAAAUUUCUAUGUGUAUGGCGGAUCUGUUGGUGAGUCCGGAAAACGUAGUAAUCCGGGGCAGGACAAUGAGGAACGAAGGCGCCCUCACCUGAAGAACCCUAAUCAGUUUGUGCCUCUCAUGAGCUUGAAAAUAAAGUCUUUUGGUCAUUGAAAUUUAAAGGCGACAGUUUAUGAUAUCUUUACUUAACUGUGCUUUUAAUUCUUUCUUAGAAUAAAAAUAAUUAAGUUGGCUGCCUAUACAAUCUUUCCUCUUCUUAUCCUCAUUAGGUUGGUUGCCCUCUUCUUCGAUUUCUUUUUAAAAAAUUUUCCUCUGAUUCAUUUUAAUUUGUGCAGUUUGUAUUGUUUAAUAAUAUGCCUGAUUCGUUGGUUCAUUAUCUUAUGCCCAUAGUUUAAGGGUUUGGAUUUUGGUCCUUGAUCUAGGGAUCUCCCCUAUUCAAUUCGAAACUAGAAAUAAAGAAAAAAAGAAAGAGAAAAAUCCUGGGGUUCAUACAAAUGUAGAUGAAAAUAAGUAUCAGAAUUAAUUUGUUUGGGCAAAAAAAUCACUAAUAGGACGAUCUCCACUUUGUUUUUUUAAUUUUUUUCUUACUUUAUUCUGCUUUAAUUAGUUGCUUGAUAAUCUACAAAGGGUUAAUUAAUGCAAUUAGAAGUAAGUUCAUGCCACAAAAGCUGUGAAUUUUACAAAAACUAAAUUUCAAUUGUAUUGACAGUUUUGUGAACUUUUGUUUUCACUGUCCAUAUGAUAUUAGUUCUAAUUCUUUCAAAUUUUGCAAUUGAGUCUCUAAUUGAGGGGAUAUAAACAUAUACUUAAUGUGUAUAAUAUAAAAAUAAAAUAAAACUAAAAAUUUAAAUCGCAUGGGCAAAUUAAUUAAUGUCAACUGAUCUGACAACAUUUUCCAUCACUUUUGAUGAACUAUAAUCAUAUAUAACUUUCUUUGAUUGGGUCUACGAAGCUGUUGGACUAGCCAGCUGGCGGUUCUUUGAGAUUGGAUCAAGGUAGUUGAGUUGUAGCAAGUGAUGCAUUUUUAUGUCUACAGAGAGCAUUGGUUGGAUAGCGGUAGUAUAGUGACAUAUAGCUGUAGAAUUUUUCCAGCUUAAUUUACUAUUCUCUACCUAUCAGUUUCAUACUUGUACUGUAGACUUAGUGGACAGGCCGUUGGGGUCGGUGACGGCACCCACUGAGAACUACUCUGUUUUGCAGUAAUUGUCACACCUAUUUGUUUCCACCUUUUUGCAGAUUCUUUGUCUGAUGCUGCUAUUGCUGAUUCUGAUCGAGGUAAGGGAGUCACGAGCUAGAUCCCUAUCUACCCGGUCACCAUACUAGAGGAGCCCUAUCAGAGAUAGUUUUGGCUGUGCCAUGUACAUACAGUGGGUGUUUGAUUAUCGAUCUGAGAGAUGGUAGUAUUUUGGGGCAUGUUUGUACAGUGGGACCUUAUAUAUGUUUAAGUUUUAGCAGCUCUGUACUUUUAUUGUAGCUCCUAUCUGUUUGCAGGUACAGCUAUCGCUUCGUAUAUACGAAAAAUUUUUAUGUGUACGGCGGAUCUGUUGGUGAGCCCGAAGAACGUAGUAAUCCGGGGCGUGACAAUGAGGAACGAAGGCGCCCUCACCUGAAGAAUCCUAAUCAGUUUGUGCCUUUCAUGAGCUUGAAAAUAAAUUUUUUUGGUCAUUGAAAUUUAAAGGUGACAGUUUAUGAUAUCUUUACUUAAGUGUGCUUUUAAUUCUUUCUAAGAAUAAAAAUAAUUAAGUUGGCUGCCUAUACAAUCUUUCCUCUUCUUAUCCUCAUUAGGUUGGUUGCCCUCUUCUUCGAUUUCUUUUUAAAAAAAUUUCCUCUGAUUCAUUUUAAUUUGUGCAGUUUGUAUUGUUUAAUAAUAUGCCUGAUUCGUUGGUUCAUUAUCUUAUGCCCAUAGUUUAAGGGUUUGGAUUUUGGUCCUUGAUCUAGGGAUCUCCCCUAUUCAAUUCGAAACUAGAAAUAAAGAAAAAAAGAAAGAGAAAAAUCCUGGGGUUCAUACAAAUGUAGAUGAAAAUAAGUAUCAGAAUUAAUUUGUUUGGGCAAAAAAAUCACUAAUAGGACGAUCUCCACUUUGUUUUUUUAAUUUUUUUCUUACUUUAUUCUGCUUUAAUUAGUUGCUUGAUAAUCUACAAAGGGUUAAUUAAUGCAAUUAGAAGUAAGUUCAUGCCACAAAAGCUGUGAAUUUUACAAAAACUAAAUUUCANUCUCACUUUUGUUUUCAAGUGUUUUGACAGUUACCAUAUGAUAUUAGUUCUACUUCUUUCAAAUUUUGCAAUUGAGUCUCUAAUUGAGGGGACAUAAACGUAUACUUAACAGUGUAUAAUAUAAAAAUAAAAUAAAACUAAAAAUUUAAAUCAUAUGGGCAAAUUAAUUAAUAUCAGUUGAUUAGACAACAUUUUCCAUCACUUUCGAUGAACUAUAAUUAUAUAUAACUUUCUUUGAUUGGGUCUACGGAGCUGUUGGAAACUAAUUACAUGUUUAAAAAUAUCUUAUUCCCCCUAACUGCGGCAAAUAAAAUAACGAAAGAAGUAGGUAACUGUCUUUUUCCCCUGCGACCUUUCUUCCCUGCAUUAUUUCUCUCUCCCUCCCCUGAAUUGUAUAAUCCAUUUGUUCAUUUCCUACCCUUGAAUUGUAUUCUUAUCUAUUUGUUCAUUUUUCUUUGCUUUUGUUUUUUCCUAACCUUUUUCACACCGUUUAAUGUAUUUUCUGUGGUUUCUUUUUUACUAGUGAAGGCCCGCGCUACGCGGCAAAAAAUUUAUAUAAAUUCUAAAAUAUUUUAAAUUAUAUAGUAAAUAAAAGACAUAAGUAGUACAUUAAUUUAUACAUUCAACUAUACUUUAAAAAAAAAAUAAUAGCUGUUAUGAGAGGUUCAAUAUUUGUCUUCACAGUCUUCAUCAACAUCACCUAAACUGUAAAGUUAGUAAUAUAAGAUUACCAUUUGUAAAAUAUCAACUAAUAAAUUUUAAUUUUAAUAAAAAAAGUUAGAAAAGGAAAAAAAGAAGAAAAAAGAUUGUUGGUCCCACAAGAAAAAGGGCAAAAAAAAAAUCCGUACCGCGCCGGCUCGCGCCCGCUCCCUCCCGCCCACAAUCCAUCGAAAUAAGGAGAUAUUCGAUGUAAAUUUAAAUUUCAAUUUAAAAUUAAAUUUUAAAUUUUAAAUAUAUAUAUAUAUAUAUAGAGAGAGAGAGUAUGGCUAGAAUACUUUUACAAGUAUCACCCAAGUGAUACUUGUGUGUUUUUAGUAUUUGGAUGGAGAGAUGUGAGAUUAAGAUGAUGGGGGUAGGUGGUGGUAGGUGGAAUAGUGUUUGAUCCAAGAGCUAUUUGUAAUCAAAAAGUAGAUCCAAUGGCUAAAAAGGUGAUAGCAACAUGGGAAUGAUAUUUGUAAAAGUAUCCUGGAUCAACUCUAUAUAUAUAUAUAUAUAUAUACAACACAAUAGACAUAUAUCAACAGUGGGCCCCCUCUAAUCCAACGCACAAGGGUUGAUUCUUCUCAAACACGACAAAAGAAUCGUAAUCCGUGCCGUGACGUCAUCGCCCACUCCGCUUCGUCCUCGUCGUCGUCGUCGUCCUCCUCCUCCUCCUCCUCCUCCUCCUUUCGAGCCCUUAAAGCCUUCUUUUUCCCCAUAUCUUCCUCACUAUCCUUCUCCUCUCACGAAAACCUAAUCCUAGAAGCCGCGAUCCUCUUGUUUCUCCCCGAUCGAUCCAUUUCUCCGAUCCCUUGCCAUGGCGACCGACUCUUCGAAUCGAGGUGAGCGUCCCGUUUCCAUCUCCUUCUGCUUGCUCUCCGAUUCGAUUCGAUUCGAAUGCGUUGAUUUCAUCUCGGAUCGGUGGUAGAACCAAUUUUUUGAUGAAAUUGAGAUGAGCUUUUGAUUUGUUUGAUAUCGGAAUUGGAAUAGGAAGUGCUUUAAUUCCCCUUUUAUUGCGUGUUUAAUGCUUCUGCAGGUAUCGGAUUGCCGCCGCUGGAUAUCUCCGCUGCUUUUCCUCAGGCAACACCUGCUUCGAUCUUUCCCCCUUCAGGUUCGAUAUUUAAAAUUUUACUGAUAAUUUUUAUAUGUGUAUAUAUACAUAUAUAGAGUGCGGCUAGUAUACUUAUGGAAGCACGGAGGCCUCCGUGCUUCCAAGUUGUUUUCGAUAUUCGGACUUUCGAAUCGACGAUCGGCUCCGUUAGAGUUGAUCUAGAGUAUUUGAAGAACCUAGAAAAUAAAUUUUGCGAUUUUUCAAUAUCAUUUGCCUAGUGAUCGAAGGGGCUCAAAAUCAACGGCUGAAAAUAAAAAUCUCACAAAAUGUGAUGAUAUGACAUUAAAAAUUUAGAUCAAAUAUAUUGAUCUUAUUUUAUAUAGUAUAAAGAAUUUUCUAUCAAAAUUUUACAUGAUUUGAAUAUUUCUACACCGUUAAACUUGCAACCAGCUCACCUCGGCCAUUAAAAUUAUUAAUUUUGAGCCCCUUUGAUCACUAGGUAAAUGAUAUCGAAAAAUCAUAAAAUUUAUUUUCUAGGUACUUCAAAUACUCUAGAUCAACUCUAACGGAACCGAUCGUCGAUUCGAAAGUCCGAACAUCGAAAACAACUUGGAAGCACGGAGGCCUCUGUGCUUCCAUAAGCAUACCAGCACAACUCUACACACACACACACACACACACACACACACAUAUAUAUAUAUAUAUAUAUAUGUAGAUGUACGGGGAAAAAUGUCAAAACGCGCCUCGAACUUUAGAGCUUUGUCAAAUGAACUCCCAAACUUUAAAAUUUGGCUACUAGACCCCCUAAACUUAAUAGUUUGAUCAGUCCUUUCCGUUAAGUGAAGUUACUGAUUGAACAACCGUCGCAGUGGCAUGUCUCUCAGAGAAUUUUGUAAAGCUUCAAAAUACAGGAAAGAAAAAAAGAAAAAACUACUACUUUUCUCAGGGAUGGAACUAAAGAAUCGUAAUUGAAGAAGAGGGCAGCUCCCUUUUCAACUUCUACUCCUUUUGUUCAAGCAUUACAGUAGAAAAAAAUAGGCUUUGUUCUAUUUAAUUGAAAGCUUCAGAAGAUCAUAUGAAAGGCAUUUGUUAGGACCGGCUACUUAAUUGUUAUCUUUGCUUGAGAAGAAGGGCCCCUAUUGAACUAUUUGAUGAAGUUUAGGGGGUCGUGUUGCCAAAAUUAAAAGUUCAAGGGACUAUUUGCCAAACUAUGAAGUUUAGGGUUUAGGGGUCGUGUUGCUUGGCGGACAGAGAAAUAUGGAGCUUUUGCUUUGGCGGGAAGUAGAAAUGUUAUUGUGAGGCCCAAAGCUCUCGAGCAAGUCUUUCUUUACUGACACUUAAUCUGUUGAACUCACAGUUUCAGACUAUUAUCAAUUUGAUGAUCUGUUGAAUGAUGAAGAAAAGGCCUUACGGAAAAAAGUUCAAGCGUUUAUGGAGAAAGAAGUUGCUCCCAUAAUGACAGGGGUAUGUCUCUACUUCCCUGUCCAUUUUUCUAGAACUUCUAAGCUGUGUAGGAAGUAAACUAAUCUGUAAUUCACUAAGUUGCAGAUGCCAACAUGGAACUUCUUGUGUAAUGUUUUUUUUUUUUUUCCAAUGCAAUUCUUAUGUAGGUGCAUUUCUAUUUUUCUCUGUAUGUCUAUAACCCAUAUUAAAUCUUGCAUAUUUUAAGUUGCUAUAGCUACUGUUUGGUCUGACAAAAUGUUGUGAUUGGUGGUGCUCUACAAGUGGGAUUGUAGUAAACUUGCGAAAUUGGGACUGUAGAAGGUAAAAUAAAUGCAGGUUGUUAACGGUAAUUGGUCCUUUGUAUGGACGGGUAAGCUGGUCAAGUUUCACUGGUUUUUGUCUAAAUGCAUCAAUUUGAUUUAUGUUUAACUGAAUCAACUUAGCUUGACAUCAUAUGAGAUUCUUAGUCCAUUGAAAUCAAGGAGUAUUGGUCAAAUCAUUUGUUCUGUAAUUUGUUGAGCUGUCUCCUUUUGACAGUAUAUUUCAACUUGCCCAACCUAAAUAUAACUUCAUUGAUGAUUUAAAAUGCCUAAGCAUGUCCUUGAAAACACGGUUAGGUUUAGACAUAGUGAAAACUAUUUCUAUAGGUUAGAAUUGCAUGUCAUGUUAUUGAGAGAAGCUACUACGGGCUUAUAAUUUUACCAUGUAUUAAAUUCAAAAACAAUAUUUUCAAUAGUGUUGCAUUUUAUCUCUUUAGCUUUCGCUUCUUGCUUCAUUAAACGUUAUGGGAGUUUGACUACUGGGAAAAUACAGAGUAGAUCUAAUAUCUUGUACUUGGGCUUAUUAGUUGCCGUAUUAGUAUUUUUUGGUAAAAACCUAUGUAACUUACCUCAAUUAUUGCACAUUUUAAUAUAGGUGCCUCAACAUUAAAGAUUGUGAUUUUAGUUCCUGAUUUUUUUUGUACACCUGGUUUAAGUACCUUUCCCAGAACUUAGUGUACUUGUACAUGCUUUGACAGAAUAUUUUGUUAACUGGAAUAUUCUAUAAAACUGUUUUGAUAGACUCUGUCAAAACUUGACGGGAUUUUCUGAAAUUUAAAGUGCUGAAAGGUUAGAUAGUAAAAUUAAAAUUUCUAAAUAUCAGGCAGCUAUUUCAACAAUUAUAUGAUAGAAUUCAGGUAAGGACUAUGUUUUUACUAUAUUUUUCAUACAGUUUUUGUCCCAUUAUUGAUGCUUUCUAUUUUGAUGCAUCUUUUCUGGUGUUAAUUCUUCCAUAGAUAUGACUACAGCUUUCUUUUUGCAGUACUGGGAGAAGGCUGAAUUUCCUUUUCAUGUUAUUCCCAAACUUGCUGAACUUGGAAUUGCUGGAGGAACUGUUAAGGUACGUAUCAGUUUAUCCUUGGCUAAGUUCUACUAGUAGCAAUACUACCAAGAAUGUACCCUAGAAUGUACUUGACAAGUCAAUGCUGCGCAUGGCCAUUUGUGAUUUGUAAAGUUAUUCAUUUUUUAGGCAUGACAUUCAACAUGGACAUCAAGUUUUAAAGCUAAAGAAUUACUAUUUGUCAUGCAUACGAUGUUGAUUCAUCAACAAAUAUUUUGUGGUACAUUCUAAGAUAUGUGUAGAAUACUCUUCUUCUAGUGUGCUCAAAGAUAUUUUGGACAUCUUUUUCUAGGGUUAUGGCUGUCCAGGGCUUUCCAUUACUGGAAGUGCUGUUGCCCUGGCUGAAAUGGCUCGGGUUGAUGCUAGCUGCUCCACUUUUAUUUUGGUGCAUUCUUCUUUGGCAAUGCUUACAAUUGGUAAGCAUUUCUAAGUUGGCUUUAAGUAAAUCUAACCUGUCGAUCUAGUCCUGUAAGAAUGUUAAUUUGCAGAUUUUUAACCGCUGAUUUUUCUUUUUUAUGUUUUGAUCUGUUUCAACGAGAGCAGCACUAUGUGGAUCGGAAGAACAAAAGCAGAAAUACUUACCUUCAUUGGCCAAACUUCAAACUGUUGCUUGCUGGGUAAGUUUAUUCAUGAAGUUGAUAGGGGCUUUUGAAUAUAUAUCCCUGCAAAAUUGUUUAUUUACAUAUGUACACUUGUAAAAUCCUAAUUUUCAUUCAUACCCUUCGAAAGUGCAAUUUUUUUAAAAAUACCCUUCAUCUUAUGGGGGAGUCGCUAAUUGCUGGGGAAGUCGGUUUUGUAUUAUAGAAAAAUUGUUAGAGAGUGGCAGUUCUGUAAAUAUCACGGUACUUGGGGUAUCUAUGCAACAACACUAAGUUAUUAAAGGUCAUCGAUGAGAUAAUUCAAUUUGAAGUGGGUGUGUAUAUGUUAACACCAUAAUUUCAUAUGUUCAGUGAGAUGCAAUAUGAGUUUAUCAAUGAAUUACAUGCUGCAGGCUUUGACUGAGCCAGAUUACGGAAGUGAUGCGAGUUCUUUGAGAACCACAGCAACUAAGGUAUGAUUCUCAAGUAUUUAGAUUGAGUGGUAAUUAAAGCCACUUAUAUUGUAAAAUCAUUGAUACUUAAUACAUGGCUUGCUAAUUGCUCUUUUUUGUUUUAUGUCAAAAUUCUAGAACUUCCUGCUAACAAAUUUAUGUUUAUUCUUCUGAUAGAACAGGUCUCAGGAGGUUGGCUUAUAGAUGGCCAAAAGCGAUGGAUAGGUAACAGUACAUUUGCAGAUAUUCUUGUUGUUUUUGCUCGGAAUACAAAUACGAACCAAAUUAAUGGGUAAAUCCUCUUAAUUUCUGAUCCUGAGAGCUUGUUCUUACAUUUUCUACCCUGGUUGGAGCUUCUUUAAAAAAGCAUGCGAGUUUUCGAAAAAGUGCUUACACCUUUUCGUUGGUACCCCCUCAAACAGCUUUCCUUUGUAGCACAAGCAGAAAUGUCAAAUUGGUUGUUCUGCCUUUGGGGUUCAGAAUCAUAUUUCAGCUUCCAACCACAAAAGCUCCAGUCCAUUUGCUGGCCAAUCACAUAGCUAUUGCUUUUUGGAAUAGAGAAGCUAUUCAAAAAGCCAGGCCAAAAAGUACAAUAAAUCUAGAAUAGAGCAAACACAAUGCCUUGUAAUAAAAUCAGUUUUGUUUCUUUACAGAUUUAUUGUGAAGAACGGCAGUGCAGGAUUAGAAGCCACUAAAAUAGAGAACAAAAUUGGUCUUAGGAUGGUUCAGAAUGGUGAUAUUCUUUUUAAUAGAGUAUUUGUCCCUGAUGAAGAUAUGUUACCUGGCAUCAAAUCGUUUCAGGAUACAAGCAAGGUAUUGUGAAUUUCUUCAAUAUGAUGAGAACAAGGUUUUUAUUGCCCAUAGGCAUGGGCCGUGCCUACCGUAUCAUACUGUGCCAAGAGAAUAUUGGCACGAUAUGAUCCUCGUGCUACAUUGCAUGACUCAACAUUAUCUUUUUGUUGAAAUUAGUUAUUGUCUUAAUAAAGUGUAAAAGAUUUGAUGAGAUAUACAGCAAGCAAUUAGAAUAUUGUGCUCAUGGGAAAAUAAAUAUUUCAUGCUAUAGUGUGUCGGCACACAUGCGUUUUUGUGACCGGCACACAUCGGCAUGGCACGACAUGCAUUGUGCCAUACCAUGCCAGCAAGUUCUCAACACGACCUUGCGCCAUGGCAUUUAAAUCCUUGGAUGAGAAUCGAGAACCAGCUGCUUAUUAUAGGUAUGUUAGUUUUGUUGUUCUAUAAAUUUAGAUUUUCGAAUUCUCUUAACUUUAUGACCCAGAGGGACAUUCUUGACUUAGCGAAUGGACAUUUUAGUGUAACAAGAAAUUAGGCCUCACUUGGUAUUGUUGCCAUUUUUUUGUUUUUUAAAAUACAAUUUCUACAUAAAAUAGUGUAGGAGGUGAUGAUAGAUUGCCUGUAAUUCUUACAUCUAAGGUGUUUGUUUGGCAACAAAAAAUAAAAAACUUGGAAGCAAUUUUUUUUUACUUCCAAAAUUUUUGAACAAGUUGUCAUCCAUCACUUUACCGAAGCGUAUCACAAGCUAACCAAUAAUGACAAAAGGAAGAAAUCCUUUUAGCUGGUAUGUCAAAUUAUAUAAAAUUAGUAUCUUAAAUAAACAAAAAGAUGGCAGUGGUGCCAAACAAGACCUAAAAAAUUCCUUCUUGAUGAAUAAUAUAGCAAGGAAAAGAAAUUUUGUCAUCCAGAUUUCCUUCUUGAUGCACUAGUAUUUUCCGUUUUCAGUAGGAAAAAACCAUUGAGGAACAAGAGGAGGAGAAUCAAGGCAAAACAAUGCUGCGUAGCAGCCAAAAAAAGAAUGUAGAAAGCAGGACAAUUUGGAAACCAGCCGAUUAAGAUGGUAUCAGUCUUUCAGCUCCUGUGGCACAAAAUAUAGCAGCUCAUGCACCAUUAGGAAGGGCUAGGGAGAAAGUUCCAUGUUAUCAGCCUGUGGAAAAGAAUAUCCAUCACUGGAUAUGUAACAACUUAGUCCACUAGCGCUAAUAACUUAUUAAACCAAACCCACCAGCCCAAAUGCUUAGUCCAAUUAUUAGUAUUAGAGCCCUUGGUCCUUUAAUUCAGCAGGAUAAAAGUGAGGCGAGACAACGAACAUUGUCCAAGAACGAGCCCUUAGAAAAUAAAUGGGAACAAGGCUUAAUCUACAACCUGCAUCAGAAUUUAAUUAAUUUCUCCUAUGACUUACUUUUUUGAUACAGCAAACCAGUAGUUAUGGAGAGACUUUGCUAAAUGAUGAAAAGUUAUGCAGUUUGUGUUCAAUGCAAGUUAUUGUUGAAACCUGUGUGAAGCCUGUGUUUCAAAAUAGCAGUUUGAAGAUUGUUUUGUAAAUUUUAAUGAGUCCAUAGUUAUACACUUUUCCCCUGUAUUAAAAUCUCACUUUUAUGGGCUCCUUUUAUAUUGGGAUUAAUCAAUUUGAUACUGGGAAUUCUAGUCGUCAAAAAUUCUUUUUUUUUUUUAUUUUAUAUUAAUGCAGCAACUAUUUUCUGUAUAUAACUAAUAUUUUGUCAAAUCGGAAUAUGUCAAAGCCAGUUUGGGUUAACUAAAAUGCCCUUUUGACCUAUCAAACCCGUUUCAUCGAGUAUAUUGACAUAGUACUGGAAUGAAAAAAAUUGCUUGUUUUUAAAUCUAUAUUCAGUUUAUCAGAAUGCCAAAUGACCAAGCUGAUUAUAGCCAUCUUUACACGAAAUCAGAUUUUAAUUUCUCAUUUUAAUUGGACUGAACGAUUUGUCUGCUUGGAUUAUGGACUUGGACUAUGGACUUCUUAAUGUAAACCAAGGAUUAAAUCACGAAGGUGAAGUUAGGCAAUUAGAAUUAUCAUGUCCUUGCUUAAAAUGAUUCUGAAAAAUGAUUCUGCCCGUGGCAUAAUUACUGCUAUGAUGGUAUGAUCUAUUUUGUGCGCUUCUCUAUGUUUUAACAUUCUCAUCCUUUUCUUUCUCUAUUUAUAUUUUUCCAUUACUAUUUCCUUCAAUACAAUUUGAUCAGGAUUUCUCUCACUCGGGAUCACUAAAGAAAAUUUUCAUUGGUUGCAACAGGUUCUUGCUGUUUCACGUGUAAUGGUUACAUGGCAACCUAUUGGCAUAUCGAUGGGAGUGUUUGACAUAUGUCACAGGUAUCAAAGUAUUUGAAAAAUAUUUAGAGUGUGCAGCCUUCAAAUUAUGUAUUUACAUAUGUACUUAAAUAUCCUAGUGAAAUCUGAAUAUUCAUUUAUGCCCUGCAAAAACUUAAUAUGUUGCAUGGAUAUAUACAUGUGAAAGCCCCAAGACCAUUCUAUCAUUUUCACCUAUUUUAUUUCAAUAGUAUGAUGAAAACUGAAAUAGGUAUCUAAAAGAGAGGAAGCAAUUUGGAGCUCCAUUAGCAGCAUUUCAGCUUAACCAAGAAAAGCUUGUUCGGAUGCUUGGCAACAUUCAAGCUAUGCUUCUUGUUGGCUGGCGCCUUUGCAAGUUGUAUGAAUCUGGGAAAAUGACUCCAGGUCACGCUAGCUUGGGGAAGGUUGGUAUACUAUUUUUGGGAAAAUAAUUCCUAAUAAUUUGCUUUCAAUAGUCUCUGAUGAUUAUUGUUAAGCUGUUUUUUCCCCUUAAAUGUGACUAAGUAAUCUUAUUCACAGGCAUGGACUUCGUUGAAGGCGAGAGAGACAGUUUCGCUCGGCCGAGAAUUGCUAGGCGGCAAUGGAAUUUUGGCCGAUUUUCUAGUUGCGAAGGUUGAAAUUUUCUCCUUGGACGUCGAUCACUCUCUUUCAAUUGCUUUUUCUUUUGUCUAUUAUUUGCUUAUUUUAAAUUGCUUUACCUAUUCAAGGAAUUUAAGUCCGCAUUAAGACUCUUUAGCUAAAACAAGAAAUCUCGAGUGCCUUCUACAUCUUCAUGCCUUUUGCAAAAGUAAUCUAUUCACAUAUGCAUCCGAGUAGAAUCUUCAUUGCCAAUAUGUACCCCUUGAAGUACAGUUUAUCUAAAAAUACCUUUGCUUAAGUUGGGGAGUUGUUGAAUACAUUGGCGGCCUGGUUUCAGAGGGUAGUUUUUUAAUAGUGCAAGGGUCUAUUUGUAAGAAAUUUAGUUUUAGAAAGGCAUAUAUGUAGAUAAUUUUAAAAAAGGGCAUGUAUGAAAAAUUCAGAUUUUGCAGUGAUAUUUAUGGCAUAAUAUGGGUACUCGUUCUGGGGUGUAUAUGUAGACACCCUUGAUUCGAAGUACAUUUAAGUUUUUAGUUACUACAGCACUUUUGUAAAAUGUAAGUUGAUUUAGUAAUAAAUAUUUUGGCCAAAAUUUAAUCAUAAUAAUAAUUAACUUGUUUUAUUCUUGGUCACCGCAGGCAUUCUGUGAUCUCGAGCCAAUCUAUUCAUACGAGGGCACCUACGACAUCAACAGCCUGGUGACGGCGAGAGAGAUCACUGGGAUCGCAAGCUUCAAACCUGCAAUGCUGGGAAAAUCAACACGAAGCCGUCUUUAAUCUUAACUGGAUAAUUCAUGCCUUAUUCUUGUUAGAGAAAUCGUUAUAUCCGGUAUACAAAACUAGUUUCAACCGUGUUGUCUCCAAGGGAGCAGAUGAAAGAAUGUAGCACACAGCAGAGUAGGGCAUGGAUUAUACAUGUGUGUUUGAUGUAGCAUCAGAUCAACUUCUUUAAAUUUUAUGUAAGAUCAACUUGUUUAAAUUUAUACAAGCACCACAAAAUAUCUUUGCGGUGGUCGUGGCCAAUAUUAUUUAUCAAACCAGAAUGGAGAGAAUGCGAGAUGAUCUGUUUAUUGGCGUGGCUUAUGUAUUUUUCUUACAUUGCUUAGGGGGGUGGUGGGGGGCGGGGUGCACGGAAAAUCAUGAACAAUAGGUGUGCAUGAAAAUGAAAUUUUUUUAAAUGAUUUUUUUUUAAUGUUUUGUAAUGUUUGGUUUGAAAAAAAAAGUUUUUUCAUUAAAAUUUUUAUGGUUGAAUAAAAGAAAUUAUAUUUGUUUUGUUUUAUAAAGAAAAUGAAUGAAAAAAAUUUUACGCAAUUUAAGUUUUUGUUUUUUAUAAAAAAUCGGCGGAAAAUGAAAUUCCUUAAAUUUAUAAAAUUAGUUUUUCAAAAAAAAAUUUACAACUAAUCAAAGGCACGAAUAUUAAUUUUUUAAAUCAAAAAAAUAAAUUUUGAUAUACUUUACGACCAAUUAAACACAUCUUAAAUCAAAUGUAAAGGCACUGUUUAUCCCGUCACACCGUCGUAACUAGGAAGAAUAAUUUUAUCAAAUUCUUACCGUGAUAUUGAAAGCUCAUCUCUCUCCACUCACUCCGUAAUUCUUACCCAUUUGUCCAAAUUGAAAUAAAAGACUUUCAAUAUUUAACGAAUAAAGAUAAUACUUAAAAUAGAAGAAUCAAUUGUUAAAAAAAUAAUAGAAUCAACUGUUAGAUGAGUAGUCCUUAUCAUUUCGUCUACUCUCAUAAUUCUAAUCCAAUUGUUCAUCAAAAGAAAAAAUAAAAUCAAAAUUUAAGUGGUGGAGAUUUAAUUUGGAAAAUAAAAAAAAAAUUCCGAAAAGGACAGGGUGCACGGCUGACGUGGUGCGCACGGUUCAGGCAAUAAUCUCUUCUCGCACACUCGGGGCGCACACGCCCUACGCGGAGAGUGGGGAGAGCGAGAAAACCCUAAAUAAGGGCACCCAUCGGAGCCCUUAAAAUGGUAGUGGUAGUAGCAUCUCCCUCCCCUCUCUCCCUCCUCCCUUCCUCCUACUCCCUCUCCUUCCCCUUCCCCGCCGCCUUCGUCCUCCUCGGCCGCCGCCGCCUCCGCUGCCGCCCCUUCGACUCCGCAGCCGCCUCCGGUGAGCCUCCGGUGACGCCUCCUCCCUUCCCCUCUCCUUACUUGGUUCGUUGUCUGGAGAGAUUACAGAGCCCUACAUAUGCGCGUUUGUGUUGCUUCGAGGGAGUUGGUUUUGGAGUAGGUGAUUUGGAUGCUUCUGUUGAUUAGAUUUUCAUAUUGUGGCUCGGUUAGAUGGUUGGUGAUUCAUUGGAUUGAUUGGGAGGGUAUAGAAGGGGAGGAUUUUAGGGUUUUUUCGUGUGUCAACUCAAUUUUUCGUGGAAUCGGAUGGGAAAAGUUGGAACUUGAUUCAAUUCGUGGGGUUGUAUCCACCACGUGUUUGUCGAUUGUUCUCACUGAGUAAAUUGGUAGUAUCUUUUAGAGCACUUUGAGAUUUUCUUUUCUUUAUUUCCUCCCCCCCCCCUCCUUCUUCUGAGAAACUCGAUGGCCUUGUGUUUGAGUGUGCUGCUUUUUUUGCGAAAAUGGCGUUCUCAAGUUUAUCAUGAGUUUCCUUGCAUGCACUGUUUUUGUAAGAUUUUAUUAUGGGGCAAAAUUGCAGUCCUGGAAAAUUUGUAUGCUUGGAAAUAAUUGUAGUAGUCUUGUUUGGCUGCAAUGAACCUAGACAGGUCACCUUGGAGCAAUUUCAAGAAGAUUAGUUUCGAUUACAAAGAAUCCAAGCCUUCGCGCCAUGGGAGAUGAGGUAGCUUCGACAUCAGCUCCUCCACUAGAGGAAGCACCAAAUACUGUGAGUUAGCAGCUUAUUCUUAUUAUCUUUCUGCUAGUUAUUGCUCUAAAUGCUGUUGGUAGCUUUUAUUUACCAAAUCUUCAGCCUAACAAUUUGUUUUUUCAAUGUAGUGUAUAAGAUAUAGAUAUGUGUUACUGAAAUUUCAAACUGGACACUAACAAACUCUGUGAACUUGGCUAAUUUGUUAUGAUUCUCGAGUUAUGCUAUGAAUGAUACCCAUGAACAAUAUUUAUAUGGUUGCGCUGGUCAGUCAUUUUUGGCCUCCAAAAUGGAAUUAAAUGUUUUCUAGUCACAGACUGAGCCUAACUAGCUUGUCUACUUACAUUAAAGUUAAAAAAAAAAUCACCUUCUUCAGUAGGUUCUAUUAUGAAAGACAUCUUUUCCUUUUUUGUUGUGUAUUUCCCUUUCCGAGGACUUCUGUAUGACAGUCUUUUUUGUUUAUCUCCAUUGGUGAAUUUAUUGCCUUUGAUUACGGAAUUUACCUUAUCUUCAUACGCAUUUUUGGUCAAGCGGAAUUUACCUUAUUGUCAUACACAUUUUUGGUCAAGUCAGUAGUUGGAUCAACCACCAACCUUCUAUCAUUCCUCUCCAUUUUAUUUUGGUUUUGAAUUUUUAUGCUUUUUCAUGAAUUCUUCUUUCUUCUGAAGUGCUGUUAGAUGUUUGGUAAUCUGGAACUUGCUUCCAAGAUCAUAUAAAUAGUUGAUCUUUCCUACGUUCUUUUCAUUAUUUUUUAAAUUUUGCCUUGAUUUCAUUCUUCUGCUAUGUGUUCCUCUUAAUUUUUUCAUGUGGACGGCAUCUAGAUGGCUUUGUAUUCCUGUUACUUGAGGGUUCUGUUAAAUUUUUUAUUCCAGUAUAGUUGAAAUUGAUCCAAUAUAUGGCAGGAGGGAGAUAAAACUGGAAGCGUGAAGCAACUUCUGUCAAAAUUAGUCAAAUCAUCUCUUCGAGCAACAUUCCCCGAUUUGUUGGAUAUAGAGCCACUUGUUGCAGCCUCAGUAAAAUUUGGUGACUAUCAAUGGUAUAUGUCUUGGCUUGUCUUGCAUGAUAUUUAAUACUUAUCUAUCUAUUAAAGUUUUUACUUUUGAUUAAGACAUGAAUUAUUAAAAAAAAAAUGCUUCUUUAGUACUAAGUUGAUAUUUAUAGUAUUUUUUUUUUGGUCCUUUUGUAAUGACAAUUGUUGAAGUGUAAUGACAAUUGUUGAGGUAUCUUGAUGCAGCAACAAUGCCAUGAGUCUGUGGUCAAGAAUAAAAGGGUCGGGCACAAAUUUCAAGAACCCCAAUUCUAUAGGGCAGGUUUGAUUUGUUUAUGCUUGUAUAAAUUUAGCAUGUAGCUAGUUUAUCUACAGUCUUGUGGAGAUCUUCUUCCAUAUUUGCAAAUUCAUUCUUUCUAGUUUCUUUUUCUGAUAAAGUGAAAAUAUUACUUUCCAUUCUGACACUGCAUUAUUUCAUUGCCCCCAGGCCGUUGCAAGAAAUCUUCCUCCUUCCGACAUCAUUGAAUCCACUUCUGUUGCAGGACCUGGAUUUGUGAAUAUAAUUUUGUCCAACAGAUGGGUUUCGGAGGUAAGAAACAUAUAUCUUGCUUGUUAAUUGUUGGGACUUUUAUAAAUAUAUCCCACAAGAUAAUAUAUCUACUUCGAUGCUGCUGUAUAAGCUGACUUUUUUAUAUACCCUUGAAAAUUUUAGUUUCAAAGAAAAUUACCAUUAUCUUAAGUUGGGGGGAGAUUUAAUUCAUGGGGGAAGUUUAUUUUAUGUUAUUUAUAGAGUUUCAUUUUAAAGAGGGCUAUAUGAAUUAUGAAGGCAUAUGAAAUACAAAAGAAGUUAAGUAUUUGAGGAGUAUAUCAGCAUAUGCAGUACAAAAGAUUAAGUAUUUGAAGAGUAUAUAAGCAUAAGAGGUACAAAAGAGAUCAGUAUUUGAAGAGUGUAUGUGAAAAGUCAGAUUUUGCAGGGGUAGUAAUUUUUUUUUUUUAAUAUUAGUUGCACUUACUAUUCGAAAUGCUAACCUUGGUUAAUUGAUCUGUGUUAUUGUAGAGAAUCCAUGACAUGUUAAUAAAUGGCAUUAAAAAUUGGGCACCGGCGCUUCCUGUCAAGAGGGCUGUGAUUGAUUUUUCGUCACCUAAUAUUGCAAAGGAAAUGCAUGUCGGCCAUUUAAGGUCCACGAUAAUUGGAGAUACUCUAGCACGCAUGUUUGAGUUCUCCAAUGUUGAAGUUCUCCGACGAAAUCAUGUUGGCGACUGGGGCACCCAGGUAACUAUUUUCAGGUUUCAAUUUUCAAUCCUGGCUGGCCGGCGCUAGCAGUUGUUUUGGUUCCUGUUGUUUUCAUACUUGUUUUGCCUGGAUUUUUGAGCCUAGAAGCUGAAGUAGUGAAGUUUGACGUGUGGGAAGUACUAUAUUAAAUUUUAAUUGUGGCAGAACAUUGAAAUAUGCUUCUAGGCCACAAAAGCAUAAGAUAUGAUUGCAGCUCUGCUUUUCUGGAGUAGGAAGUUGUUUAUAAUUAUUUUCAUGAAAGAAAAACUAUUAAGGCUUCUUUUAACAGCUUAAGCAAACAGCAGAUUUGCAGAAGCUUUACUCAGGCCAAACUAACAGUCUUUAGAUGUUCUAUUAUUGGUCUAUUGUACUGAAACAUCUGGAGUGGUCAUUGUUUUCAAAAUUGAUUGUUUUUUUUUUGUUUAACUUUGAUAUUCUUUUAGGUAUAUGGGGUAAUAGAAGUUUUCCUUGUAAUUGUGCAUUUUAUUCCGGUGGAUUAUAUAACAUCUCUUACUUGACCCAAUUAUUCUUGUAAUGUGUACAGUUGCUAAUUUAUUAGCUAAAGGUAAUGUCUGUUGAAGUUCCUGUUUACUGUAACUCGUUAUUGUUCUAUAAAAUUUUGAGACUUGUUCAGAAUUUAUGUAAUUAAUUGUUGAAGCUUCCGGAGGAUGGAUUUUUUGGUAUUAAUAUCAGUUAUUUGCAGUUAAUCAAAUACUGGGUUGACACUCUUGUUCUUUUCUUUACGACAAAAAGGAGGUGCUUAGAUAGUUAAUAUGGGAGAAUAUUAAUAUAUUGUACUUGCGGACAUUGUAAGAUCGUUUUUUUUUUCGGAGCCAUAUUUUUGAGGAUUGAGUGGGUUAAUAAGACAAUUGUAUUCAUUUCCAGAAUAUGUCAUUGUUAGCAUUUGGCUUGUUGUAUUUUAUGUUUAGAUAUCUGUAAAAUUUACUUUCCGGGCAUAGUAAAAUAUGUAAUUUUACAUAUUUUAAUCAUUUUAUGGUUGAUUUACAUAAUAGUGACAAAGAAUCUCUUAUUUGGUUUUGAACUUUUUUUUUUUCCUGUUCCUUUGCAGUUUGGAAUGUUGAUAGAGUACUUAUUUGAGAAGUUCCCUAAUUGGGAGGAUGUUGGGACUCAAGCCAUUGGAGAUCUUCAGGCGAGCACAAUAUAAUGUUUAUAAUUUAGCAUAAUAGUGAACUUCAGCUUCAUUACAUGUAAAAUGAUGCGGGUAUUUACAUAAUUUGAGCUAUAUGACAGUUUAUAAGAUAAAUAACAAUAAUAAUUGUCCAUGUUGCUUAAUGGUUUCCAAUUAUACUCACUGACUAAAUUGAGUUCUUAGACUGUUCCAUUAUGUUUUCUGUCCCAUACAUACCCUUUUUAUAGCUUCAAGUUCUUGAAUGAAAAGAUUCGACCUUUUACUGUAGAUUGACAUUGAAUAUUAUUGUGCGAAUGUUCUUCAGCAUAGAAGCUUUGAAGAUGCAUGUCUUUACAUUAUUGUGUGUGCUAUUAUUGAAGUUUGGAUAAUGCUUUUCAUUUUUCACUUUGCAUGAUACUAAUUGCUUCUCUAUGUUGAUCAUGAAAAAUGUAAAAUUGGAAAUUAUGUCUAUUUUUUAAAUCUUUUUAAUUAUUUGGCAAUCCAAGCUAGGAGUAUUUGCAUCAGAAUUUUAGUAUUCUUGGCCAUGUCUGCGGUUGUAAUUUCUAGUGUGUUGGCUUUUUAAAUCUAUUUAUUUCUUUCUCACUAGGCCUCCCUGUCUUUAAUAGUGUUCUAAUAUGAAUGUUCUCCUUCAGGAAUUCUACAAGGCAUCUAAAAAAAGAUUUGAUGAUGAUCCGGCCUUUAUGGAACGGGCUCAGCAGGCAGUAGUUAAGUUGCAGGUAUGUAUCUUUUGUGAUGCAGAUUGUUACACACCGUUGGCUUUUGUUUUCUGUAUACAGUCCACUUAUUUCAUCUUAUAUUCUAUAUUUGCAACUUAAUUAUGAAUUUAUGAAUUAAGGAGUGCUUUGGCUUAUGAAAUGGUAUUUCGAACCAAAGUUAUAUUGAAAAAAGUAAAUCUAAACAGCAAAAUAAAAAGGUGGUCUGUUUUUGCAGCAUGGCCAGAUUUGGAUAAAAGGAAAAAAAGGAUCACCGAUACCAUCAUUAAAUGUAUUUUUGGACGCAGAGAUUGCAAGUUGCAACAUAUUCUUGGAGUUGUGGAAUUUCUACUUAAUUUAGACAAUCAUCAUUUCUCUUAUAUUUACAUGUUUAUUUUUUUUUAUCUUUUCUCUUAUAUUUACAUGUUUAGUUUUUUUAUAGGGAGGAGAAGCUAAAUACCGUGAUGCCUGGAAAAAAAUCUGUGAAAUCAGCAGGAAUGAGUUUGACCAAGUCUAUCAGCGGCUUAAUGUUGUUUUGGAAGAAAAGGUAUAGCUAGUAUACCAGUUAUGCUACUAUUGAUCUCUUAAAAUCUAGCUUACUAGUUACUAGAUUGUUUCAAGAAAGACUGCCAGCUUAAUGUCCAACACUCCAACAUGAAGGUCAUUCUAACUUUGGGUAAUGAAUGGUUGUUCACUUACCACUUGUUUUUGCUGACUGCACAUCACUUAAUGGCUAAACUACCAUUUAAGAUGCAGGCUGUGGUGUAUGCGGUACUUGGAUUCGCUAAUUUAUCUUUCACUGCUUUCUUUUCUUCAAGAAGUGUAAAUGUUGAAACUUUUUUAGUUUUUCUUGAAACAUCACUGUCAGAGCAUGAGGCCCAGCUUUUGGAGAAGCUCUCUUAGGCUAGAGCUGUUCAAAGAAUCUAUGGCAGCUUUUUUGUUAAGAUCUCCUCAGCAGAUUGCCACUAUAGUGGAAGCAAAAGUUUCAAUAUGAAGUUUAUAAUUUUCGGACCUAAAAGCUUGUUUUGACUUUCUCCGACUGCAAAACCUCUGGAAUAUUUGUUUCCCAAACACCAUGUCUGUCUAGAAGCAUGGACUUGUAAAUCUUGUCGACUUUGAAUUGCUAAUCUUUUCUCUGUUCCCUUUUUUAUCUUUUCAGGGGGAAAGCUUUUACAAUCCUUAUAUUCCAAGUGUUUUAGAGGAGUUAACUAGCAAAGGGUUGGUUAAGGAAAGUGAUGGUGCUCGUGUGAUAUUCAUUGAAGGGCAAACUAUCCCUUUGAUUGUUGUGAAGAGAGAUGGAGGAUACAAUUACGCCUCAACUGACUUAGCUGCUCUUUGGUUAGCUUUCUUGAUUUCAAACCAAAUUCUUUCUGUAGCUCCUCUUGAUCAAUUAGUUUUGCCUCAUUUUGAUUUACUUUUUACAGGACAAUGUAAUUGAGAUUUUAUAUAGCAUGCACUUUUUUUACCCUGCUAACAUGAACCGUUUCUGCCACAAGUUGUCUUACAUUGGUAUAGAUUUUGAUUAUUCACACCUUCCUUUUCAUCCUAAAGGUAUCGGCUUAAUGUGGAGAAAGCAGAGUGGAUAAUAUACGUGACAGAUGUUGGGCAGCAACAGCAUUUUGAUAUGUUUUUCAGUGUAGGUAUCACGUUCCAUAUUCUUUUCUUUUUAUUUCUUUAUUUUUCCUCCUUAAGAAGAUUUAUUGUGUACUUUGUGCAGCCAAUUGUAGUACUUUAUAUUUAUGCAAGAAAACUUGUUGUUCUGUUUCAUUUCAGUCGAGUUAUAUAAGUGGCCAACAAUGACGACUUGUGAAUUUUAGUGGUGGACUUUAAGUAGUUUUCUGGCUGAAUGCGUACAUAUGUACUGUUGCUAAAUUAUGCAUUUAAUUAAUGUAUGCAUCUAGAAACUCUCAAUAUAUUCCCUUCAACUUAAUCUCUUGCAUUUAUAUUCUUGUACUUUCAAAAUGCCCCUGUCGAGAGAAUCUUUUGUAAAAUAAAUCUGAUUGGAUGGUUGCCCAAUCUAAGAUGAAGGUGUUUCCUUUUUUAAGAAACUGCACUUUCAAGGGGUAGAUAUGAAAUUCAGAUUUUACCAGAUUAUAUGUGUGUAAAUUUUCCUAUCCAAUCCCUGUGACAUGCAUUCUAUAUUUGGUGGGACUUGAACUUCCUCGCUUCCAUUUCAGGCUGCUAGAAUGGCUGGUUGGCUCCCAGACCCUGGGGAAAAGAUGUUUCCUAAAACAAGUCAUGUUGGAUUUGGGCUUGUUCUUGGAUCAGAUGGAAAGCGCUUCCGAACUCGAAGCUCAGAAGUUGUUCGAUUGGGAGAGUUGCUUGAUGAAGCUAAAGCUCGGAGUAAAGCUGAACUCGUACAACGUCUCAAUGAAAAUGGUAAAGUUAUAGUUUCUUGCUUGCUAAUAUCUGUUCUUUGUUUUCUUCAUCUAAGCUUUUCAUUUGUAGGUAAUUUUUUAGAUGGAGGUUUUCCACUUAUGUACCAUUGCAAAAUUUUCAUGUAUGCUCCUGAAAGUGCAGUUUCUUACAGAGUGUGUUAUAACUUACCUAUGAUGCACGGAUACUUCAAAUUUCAUGCCGUACCUGUAUCGGAUACGUAUCGGAUAUCGAUACGCGCCCGAUACGUGCCCGAUACGUGUCCGAUACGAGAAUGAAGUAUCCGGCAUUUUAAAAAUAAAAGAAAUAUCGGAUACGGCUUGGAUACGGGGGGAUACGGGAGGGAUACGGCCAGAUUCUUUUUUGGCCUAAAAUGAUCGGAAUUUUAAAAAAUUUUUAAAAGCCAAUAUCGAAACCUAUUGGAAAGAAGGACGAGUGAGAAAAACACCAAUCUCUAUUUAAUUUGUCAUUUCUUCUAUCUUUUUGCUCUUGAAUAGUAGAAAGCGCUCCUACUCAUUCUAUCUCCACACAGUAUUAAGCCAUAAUUUAGUUCUUCACUGCUCUUUUACUCUUUUUCAUCUAAUUUGUCAACCUAGUAUUAAGCAACAAAGGCUAUAGAGAAUAUGAUUUUUUUUUCUUUUUUAUUAAAUUGCUAGCAUAUUUUCUUUUAUUACUGUUUUAAUAAUAGAACUAAUAAAACAAACAUAUAUGUUGAAUGGUUAAUUAUCUAGUUUGUGUGACUACAUAUUUAUUGUUAUCAUUUGAUCAAAUUGGAGAAUAAUUGGAUGAUUAUUCCAUAUGAACAGAUGUAGGAUAAUUAUACAAGUUAAUGUAUAUUAGAAUAUAUUUCUUAAUAUAAUCCAGAUAUCCUACUUGUUAUCAAUAUAUCAUUUACAUAUAAUCAAUAUAUAUUUAAGUAUAUUUAAAUAAUAUUUUAUACAAAUAUACCCUGCGUAUCGUAUCCUGAAAGUUUUAAAAAGUACCGUAUCACCUUAUCCGUAUCGUGUCAUAUCGAUAUCCCCGUAUCCGUAUCUGUACAACAUAGUAGCUUACAUUCUGUUUCUUGAAAAGUUCUAGUCUCUUUCAAAUAUGCUAUAACUAACAUUCUGUUUUCUGGAUCAGGUAAGAUUGGUGAGUGGACAGAUGAAGAGCUUGAGAAAACUUCUGAGGCAGUCGGCUAUGGUGCAGUCAAGUGAGAUAUUUUUUUCUACUUAAAUUUACUGAAGAAUAGCCAUGUUGAUUUGAUCUCUUCCAGCUUUCAGAUGUAUUUAAAGUGAUAUUUGAAUGCACUAGUAGGAUUUUUCAACUUUGUUGGUGAGGUUAUUGCAAGACUGUCUUUUUACGAACUGCAAUAAUGAAUUUCAAUCAUCUUAAAGGACAUUUGCAUUGUACCCCUGCAAAAUUAUGUUUUUACAAAUAUAUCCCUGCAAAACAUGAGUUUUCAUAUAUACCCCACAAAUGCUUUCUUCCUUGCAUCAAUAGCUUUAUACUUAACAAAAAGUGCCUUCCUCAUAAAAAAGAAAAAAAAAACUUUUCUCAGAAAACCAAUGCCCCUUAUGCCAUGAAUUGGCUGACUCUCCAAUUUAAUGCAUUUACGAGGAGUGUACAGCAAAAUUAAUCUUUUACAGGAUAUAUCAUAGAUGGAUGAUAUCACAGGGGAUGAAUAUACUAGUUCUUUAUACAAAUUGAACAAAAGUUCAAUUUCUUUUGAUUGUCUAUAGACACAAAAACUUUCUUUGGAAUCCAUAUUUCUCUUUCUUUUAGUUGUGAUAUGAAUACGCUAGUUGGAGGGACAUAUAUGUUAAACCACCAACAUGCUGUCUUUUAAUAAUAUUAUACAUGCUUUUUUCAGAUACUGGUGUUUACACCCUGACACUUCUGUAUUGAUUUGAAACAGAUACGCAGAUUUGAAGAACAAUCGAUUGACUAACUACACAUUCAGUUUUGAUCAAAUGCUAAACGAUAAGGUAAUCUUGUAUUCUCCAGUAUUUAAUUAUUUCUGCAACCCUCUACUAUAAUGGCCUACAGAAAUUGAUUCUGCAGAUUUGAUGCUUAAUAAUUAACUGUCGCUGUUUGAAACCUACAUGUUGGAUGCCCAUUAUGCUACCGUGUUUUUGGAAAAAUGGGAUAUGUUUUAUAUAGUUAAUUUUGUAAGUAAGUGCGCAAUGUUAGGUUUUUGAUGAUUCCUUUUUAUGGAUUUCCAAACAACAAAUAGAACGUACAUCUGAAUUUUUGUAUAUACACCCUCGAAAGUCGUUUUUUUACAAAAAUACUUUUAUCUUAAGUUGUUAGUGAUCCAAUUUCACAUGGUAAAUAUCAGAGAAGUUUUAUCUUGAGAGGAGCACUUUUAUAAGUGGAACUUGAUAUGUAAAAUAUUAAAAUUGUAAGGGGCAUAUAUGAAAACUUAGAUUUUUACAGGGAACAUUGCUUGGUGCUUGCUGCUUUUUCUGCUUAUGUAUAUAUGGUGUUUCUGCUGUUAUUUAUCCUUGCUGCAAAUUUCUCUAAAGACCUUUGUAUACUAGUCUAGCAGUUUACUUAUCAGUUAUUAUCUAUCCUUUACUCAUUGUAACUAGUAAGAAGUGUCGACCUCUCAUAGUAACUGCUAUUCUUGUUUUUUAACAGGGAAACACUGCUGUUUAUCUGCUGUAUGCGCAUGCUCGAAUAUGUUCCAUUAUUAGGAAAUCUAAUAAAGACAUAGAAGAGCUAAAGACGGUAAUUUUUUCUGUUUGACUUUGAUAGAAACUAUUGGUAUCGUUGCAUUUUUAUUCUUAAUUAUGCUGUAAUUUUUGGAAUUUCUGAAAUCCUGCUUUUUUAUUUUUUGCGCAGAUUGGGUCGAUUUCUCUUAAUCAUCCUGAUGAACGUGUUUUAGGGCUCCAUCUUAUCCGGUUUGCAGAGGUAUAUCUUGAGAUAUACGUGUGUCAUCAUUUAUUUUAAUCAGGAUUAAUCUUUUGUCUCCACAUUAAUCGUUUGGCUCCACCAAUUGUGGUUUUGAUAAUUAUGUCAUGCAUCUUCUUUACACAUUGAGCAUUUAAUAAGAAUUUUUAUUUUUUCUAUUCUUUUUCCUAUUUGACAUGUAUAGAGUUAUCUCAUGUUAUCAUUUAUGGUAAUUAGCAUCACAUCAUUGCAUGCUUAAGAGAGGUCUGACAUGUAGAGUUGUAUCGUCUAUGAUACAUUUCGUUACCUUUUCAAUCUUUGUGAUAAUUUUGUCUAGCAAAGCAAACAUAUACUCACCAUUCAUCGGUUUACUGUGGCACAAUGAUUUUGAGCAUCUUGACUAGUUCUGUGAUCAUAAUAUUAGCAUGUUUUCCUGUUAUUGUAUUUCAGAUUGUUGAGGAGGCUUGCACGAAUCUCCUUCCAAAUGUUCUAUGUGAAUAUCUGUACAACUUAUCAGAAAUUUUCACUAGAUUUUAUACCAGUUGCCAGGUUUGUUUGUCUCUUUUAUGCUUCUCUAUUCUAGUUAUUGUUGGUUUGUUUGCAAACUUAUUUUUUCUGAAAACCCAAAUAAGUGAAAAAAGGUUUACUACUAAACAUUGGAUUUUAUUGCCAAAUGAACCGUUUAUGUGUAGAGAUCACAAAAAAAUCGCAUUCAAUCACAAAGUUUUUGAGUUAAAAAUUGAAAUAAGUGUUACUAAACGAGACCUUACUCUCGAGUACUUGAUAAAUGAUUCCAUAUCCUGAAUUUUUAGCUUAAGAAUACAAUGAUAAGGCAAAACUACUGUAAUAAUUCCAUUUGAAAGAACCUUCGUUAUCCAAUUAAAAAAAACCAUAUUAUAGAUAAUGCAUUUGGGUUUAAGAUAAAACUCUCUCUCUCUCUCAUCAUUUAUAAUAGCUAACAUGUUGUGGAAUUUGGCAGGUGGUUGGAUCACCUGAAGAGACCAGCAGGUUGCUAUUAUGCCAAGCUACUGCGGUCGUCAUGAGGAAAUGCUUCCACCUUCUCGGAAUCACUCCCGUCUACAAGCUAUAAAUUAUACUUCCUAUAGCACUUAAAUUUUAUGUCCAAUUUUUGAAUCAUGCAAAGUUUGCUAUCUCUUCGGGUGUAAUCUAACCAUUGUUAGUGAGAAAAUUAAGAGAUUAUUUUGAGGGAGGAAAAGCUUGGAAGUUGUGAAAAAGAUUAGAUUCAGUUUCUCAAUUUGAAUAGAAGGGGCUCGUACUCAACAUCGAAUUUUACGGUUGUUGCGAUUGAAUGGUUCGUGAUGUUUUAGUUUAUGUGGGUUAAACGGUUUGAUUUUGCGGGUGUUUUAAAUGUCUAAAUGUGCAUGGAUUCUCAAAUUGAAAUUUCAGUGGAACUAUUGGUCUGAGAGAUUCUCAAAUUUAGAAAACCAAAAUGUUCGACUUGGACUGUUAUUAAGGAAAAAAAAAAAGAAAAAAGAAAAAUCAUGAGUGAGGAUAAUUUCUGGUGAGUUCCUGCAAACUGAACCAUUCAUUUCAUAUUAAAUUGGGUGGUUUGAACCAGUACAUACUGGGUAAUUUGCACAGUUGGUACUCAAAUUAUAAGGCUGGUGAUAUUUUGGUCUUUAAACUUGAGAAACAUAUUUUUAAAACUUUUAAUAGUAUUAUAGAUUAGAGAUGUCAACGGGUCGGAUUCGGGGCGGAUUUUUAAAAAUCCGAAUCCGAACCCGACUCCAAACCCAAGACCCGAACCCGAAUCUGAACCCGACGGAUUUUAAAAAUCUAUAUCCAAACCCGAACCCGACCAAAAAUCCGAAACCCGAACCCGAACCCGAACCCGAAAAUUUAAACCCAAAACAAUUACUUCUUUUUUCAAUAUUUCAAAAUAUAUUAUAUUAAACCUAAAUUUUUAAAAUACAAAUUCAAAUAUAACAUCAAAUUUUUAUAUAUAUAUUAUAUAUAAUACAAAAUAAAUUCGGGUUUGGAUCGGGUUCGGGUCGGGUUCGGGUUCGGGUCGGAUACAAUCAAAAUUCAUAUCCGAAUCCAUAUCCGUCGGGUUUCCAUUUUUGAUAUCCAUAUCCGAAUCCAUAUCCAUAUUUAUCGGAUAUAUCCGUUUCAUUCGGGUUCGGGUUCGGAUAAAAUUUUGGAUAUCCAUACCCAUUGACAUCCCUAUUAUAGAUAGACAGAUAGAUAUAGAUGAUGGUGAAUUUUUUAAUUUUUGUUUCAUGCAUGGGAAACGGGCUUUUUUUUAAUUUAAAAAAAUUAUUUUCAAAAUUUGGCGUAUUUGCGCUACAUAGAUACCACCUGAGAUUGUUCCGGAUGGAAGGCAUCGAAGAAAGCGGUAAAGUAUUAUGCUUACUUGAAAUGAUAAACGGUUCAGUGCUUUUAUUUUAAAAAAUUUAUAAAGCUCCUAAACACGACGAAUAGUUUUCAUCUUUGAAAGGUGUGAAUCACUCAUCGCAUUCUUCGUGACCAUCUCAUACUCUCUAAGCACUAAGCCUCUCGCUGAUAGUAAAAUUGAUAAGCAGUGAAUAGUUUACCGCCUUCUAAAAACGAUAAGUCAUAUAAAAGCUAGAAGAUAGAAAAUCAUUAGUUGGAAAAUGAUGCAACCUUGUGUAUGAUGUUAGGGGUCUAUUUUUAUGCAAAUAGUGUUAGUACUGGGCCAAUUUAUUUAGAAGUUGACUAAGUCAUGUAAAUAGCAAAAUAUUGGCUUAAUUUGGGCAAGUAAUGUGUUUAUGCUGCGGAGUUCGUUCAUGCUAAUUAGUUUUUAGGAGGACAUAUAUAGUGGAUGUAGUAGAUAACAUGUUGAAUUGGAUUUCCUUUAACCUUAAGUAUCUUUUUAUUUAAAUCCUUUAUUUGCACCAAAUUUUUAAAUGAAAAUUUUUGUUUCUUCCACUUUAUUACUCUAUCAAAUUUUAUUAGUGAGCAUUAAUUUAUUUUAGAAUGCAUUUUCUAUCUAUAAUUGGUAUUAAAGUUCUGUUAUGAUCAAAGUUGUGCACAUAAUAUGAUACGUGGAACUUUUCUAGCCAAAUUUUUAUUUGCAAAAGACCUAGCAAAAGACCUACUUUGAGGCUCUAGUAUUGAAUAGUUUCGGUCACCAUUCAUAUGACUCUUAGUGUCUAUCUGAAACGCUUUGACAUUCGCCUCUACUUUUUUUCGUCUUGUUUUCCAUCCAUACAGCUUUAAACUGUUGCAGCUAGUAUUCACGCUACUUUGAAAUUCAUAUUAUUCAUGAUGUUCAACUAAUGUUGGACUGUUUCAGUCAUCAUUCAUAUUAUUUUAAGAUUUGCCUAUACUAUCUAAUAUUGGACUGUUUUACUUAACAUUCACCAUAUGAUGUGGUAUCUCUAUGAGAUCUACAACAUCAGAGAUUCAAAACUUACAACAUAUACUUUCAGCCACAGCAAUAUCAAGAUAGACCUCAAAUGCUUAUGUAAUACCAUAACAUCACAACAUGAAGAUUAAAAAUGCUUUAAAUUUUUUUAAGAACCUUUCAAAACUAAUAAUAAAAGCAUAUGUUUUUAGCCACACCAUAAUACCAAAGUAAACAUUCCAAACUCACAAGCAUAUGCUUGGUUAGCCACCAUAAUACCAAACUAGAUUUAUAAAUACUUACUAGACCUAUAAAUAAGCAGAUAUUAUUUUGAAUUUAUUCUUGGUUACCGACCAUCCCUAAAGCACGUGACAAAGAGUUUGGUGGUUAGUACUCGAGACCCAAGUUCGAAUUCUAGUUGAUUCAUAUUUCCAGCUAAGUUUAUUUCUAAAUAAAAUAAACGAAGCGGAUAGCAUGCUACCUAUCUCUCAAAAAAAAAAGAAAAAGAAAAAAGAAUUUAUUCUUGAUUCCGCAUGAGCUGAACACAGAGGCCGGUGAAGGCAUAGUAGAGUUUGCGGUCCCUGGCGCCGGUGCUGUGGCAGCCGUUGCGGCGGCAGAAGUAGGCGAGGAUCUUCAUGUUGAGGCAGCCGAGGGUGCCGUCAAGCAGCAUGAACAGCCAGUUGAUGUCCCGCUUCCUCUGCGCCACCACCGGCCGCAUCCCCCUCUGCAGCCCGCAUGACGGGCAGUCCCUGUACUUCGGGUUUAGCAGACUGUCCGACGCGCGGUCACUCUCGUACUCCUGCACCCGCCGGUACAGCGGCUUCACAUCCUCCUCGAACUUGGACAGCAGGUCGUAGGUCACCACCUUUAUUUUGUUUCGUUAAUAAAUACUUAGGAUUUUAAUUAAAACAACUACAAUUUCAUCAUGAAAAGAAUAAGCACAAAUUAAUAACUAAAACAAUGAGUUUCUGCACUUUAAAAAGUACCGAAAUAUCUGUACUUGUAAUUUUUUAAUCAUCGGAUCGUCUUAAGAUCGUACAGCACUCUUAAUGAUAUAUCCUGUUAAGCCCACUUUACUAGUUCUGCGUAGUUCUUGAAACGAUUCAAUAACUAAAAAAAUUAUAAAUACAAAUAUUUUUGUACUUAUAAAAGUAUGGAAAACAAUUCUUGAACUAAGAAAGGAUUGAGCACACAUUGUAUUAGACAAAAAAAAAAAAAAAGAAAAGAAAAGGAAUAUAGAGUUUUCAUCAUUGUAAUUUUAAAAGCAAAAAUUAACAACCAUAAAACGAAAAAAAAAGAAGAAUUGUAAUAGAUUUCAAAUAAAAGUAAAGAAAGUAGACAAACUAUAGACUUCAAAUAAUUAUAAGAAUUUUUCCUUUUCUUUUGCAAUUUUUUUUAUAAACACAUACAAAUAUUUUCGACUUUUAAGAUAUUCUCGGAGCAUGCAAAAUUAGUAAACCAACUGCACUAAGUAGUAAUUAUUAUUCUAUAACGAACCGACCUCGUGGGCGUCGCAACUUCGGCAGCAGAGUUCGCCCUUGAUCUGGGUGAUGCCGCUGGCAGAGAGCUCUGCAAGGGGCCGCACGGUGGCGCGGUGAUCUCCAGCCCAGGGGAAUGGAGGAGGAAUCCUGUCAGACGUGCUCGGCCGCACCGGCCUACGUCUCCUCCUUGACUGCUGCAGUUCCGACGGAAUAGGCAGCGGCGACUGCAGUGACUGCGGUGGCGGUGGUUUCAUCAUGAACAAUUGCAAUUUUAGCAUUUUAAAGUUCUAGCUAGAAGAUCUCUAAAACAUUUGCAAUUUCAUCAUGAACUAAAAAUAAUUAAACUAAUUAAGCGUGGAACUCCUUCACUUUUAAAAGCACAAACAUCUGUGCUUAUGAUUCUUUGGAUGACCUUAAAAUUCAUGCAGCACUAUUAACAGUAUAUUCCGUUGAAUCUUAAGAUGAUGCCAUGGCUAAACUUAGAUGCACAAAUGUUCAUUUCUUUUAAAAUGCACAGAUGUUCACAGAAGCUCCACUCUACCACCUCAGUUUAUUACUAAUUUGUUUUCGAUGUUAAAACUUUUAAAUCGAUGAUCGGCAUCAUUUUAUAUUACUUAGACCAUUUAACCUAUCUAGAAAUCAAACUUUAUGAUUUUUUGAUCGCUAGCCGAAUGAUCAAAGGAUCACAAAAUCUGUAACUCUAAUGACCAAUAUGAUGUGUUUGCUUGCCAAAUUAACUAAAUUUUUGUUAGAAAAUUUGUUAAAACUAUUCAAAAUAAGAUUUAGCUAGGGCCUGUUUAAGAAACCCAUAAUACCGGAGUAAUAAGCCAACUUACUUUGUAUUUUAGAAAAUUCUGUUUAUUUUUUACUUGCUAUGUUUGGAUAGUCUAACAAAAGAAAAAAUUUACAGAGUAAAAUAAGCAUUCCGGUGUAAUUAAUAUUGGAGUAGGUAAAGGUGUUGGCUGUGCUUUCCCCGUUACGCCUCCUGAAGGAGGAUAUGUCAUGUAAAAUAAAACUCUUGAUUUAAUUUUAGAUAAUUGCCUAACAGACCCUUAGAUUGUAAAUCUUAAAUAUGAAAAUUAUAUUAUUAUUUUAAAAAAAAUACUUAUUUUUAGUUAUUUAUUUUUUGUUUACUUGAUGAAUAAAAGAACAAUAUCAAAAAAGCGUGAAAAUUUGAUUUUUAGAUAGUUUAAAUAGUUUACACCAUAUUUAACGGUACCAUUAAUAUGAAAGUUUUAUCAUUGAAAAAAAAAUUGAUAGCAGAGUGAGUACUUAUCACCGAUAGUAUAAUCUAGCAAAACUCUUUCUCUCUCUUUCUAUAUAUAUAUAUAUAAUGUAUAAUGCUUCCGACUUUUAGCUUUUAGAUCAAAAAUUCUAUAUUUGGAAUGAUAGUCGUCACCCCCUACGAAUGAGUGGUCCCUCAAGGAUAAUAAUAUUAAUCCGAGAAUAAAAAAUGAUCAAAAAACUUGAUCCAACGAUUAAAAAAUAAAAAGCAGUCCCAUUAUACUUUUCAUAGUAUAGUAGCAAUAUAUAUAUAUAUAUAUAUAUAUCAUAAUUGUAAUUUUAAAAAUUAAUAAUUAACAACCAUAAAAUUAAUUUAGAGAAAAUAAAAAAAAAAGAAAGAUUUGAAGAAUGUAUCUAGAAAACUAGAUGAAUUUUAAUAGAUUCAAAAUACAGAUUUCAAAUAAUUAUAAGAAUUUUUUAUUUUUAGUUUUUUUUUUUCAUAAACACUCAUAAAUAUUUCUGACUACUAAGAUUCUAAAGGGCAUCCAAAAUAUGCAAAAUUAGUUAAACUCCAGUAGAUAGUGAUUAUUAAUCUACAACGAACCGACCUGGCAGGUGUCGGCGCUUUGACCGCAGAGUUCGCCGUCGGUCCGGGUGAUGCCGCUGGCGACAGGCUCCGCGAGGGGCCGCCUGGUAGCACGACGGACUUCGGCCCCGGGGAACGGCGAAGCGAUUGGCUCCGACCCGGGCGGCGGCGGCAGCAGCGGCGAUGGCGGCGGCGGCGGCGGCGUUGGUGAUGGCGGCGGCGGUGGAGGUGGCGGCUGUAGGGGUGUUGGCGGUGGUGGUGGAGGUGGAGGCGGAGGCGGCAGCGGCGUUGGUGGCUGCGGUUCACGUGAACCAGGACACGACAAAGAGAGCUCCAGAUCCAUCUAAACUAUUAUUAUUCUUCUUCUUAUUACUUAUACUUACUUUUAAUUGUAAUUCUAAGAAUAAUAAAGCAAUACUAAGAAUAAUAAUAAUAAUAAUAAUAAUAAUUGUAGUGGUAGUAAUAAUAGUUAUUAAAGAUGUAAUAUAGAUGCAAUAAAUAGGAAACUUUGGCGAGAACAUCUUGCCAAUGUACGUUGUAUAUACAGAUAUGUAUACUAUUGUAGGUAGUUUGGAGUUCUUAUCAGGUUGUUACGUAUAUAUAAGUAAUAUUGCGAUGAGAGAGAGAUUAGGGGGGGAGAAAAACAAAAAAUAAAAAAAAGCAAAAAAAAGUGCGCGGGUCCCGAAGCGGCGCGCGCUCCCGCCACGGUUUUAAAUUCGGGUACAAAUCCGACGUUGACCGCGGGGUAAAUUUUAUACCUUCCCCAUUUCCGAAGGGAUGUGAUUUAUUCAAAAAUAAAUAUAUUUUGCCAUAAUUUAAACUUUUUUGGUCUGGAGAUAGGAAAUUGAAUAUUCAAAAUUUUAUCUGAUUUAAAUCUUAACAGAAUAAAUUUAUGGGAUGCUAAUUUUUGGCAAUUGCUAUUUCAUUGAAUAUAACAAUUGUUGUUAUUACCUCGUUUUCAUAAAAUUUUGUAUCUAAAUUUAACGACCAUAAAAAAUAUUUAGUUCUAUUUGAAAUGGAUAGUUAAGCCUAAAGCAAAAUUGCAUAUAAAUUUUAUAGAAGUUCCUAACUUUGUUGGCUGAAAGGACCAGCAUUCUAUUUCGCGACGAGAGAUCAGGUUGGGUUGAAUUAUAUUCAAAAUAACUAUAGGUCGGGACAGAGUUACAGUAGAGACUCACAGGCUCUCUAUCAAGCUUUUGGAAUAAGUGGUGGCUAGCACCAACUAGACCUGGCAAUCCCUAUCCCUACCCGCAGGUUACCCGUAAAUUUGUGGGUUUGGAUACUAGUUUUUCUUACCCAAAAAAUUAUGAAUAAAACGGAUGGAUACCCGUUAAGUAAUGACUAUUUUGAACAACUCGGGUACCAACGGUACCCGUAUAUAUAUUUGUUUAAUUAAAAAAUAUAUAAUCUCUAUGAUAUUGACUCUAUAAUGAUAAAAAUUUUAUUAAUUUUGUAUCAUGAAAAUUUGAAAUUGACAAAAUAUUUUUAUAUUAUAUAAUUUUAUGUGCUUUAAUAUUUAUAUUAUUUAUUGUAUGUUAUGAUAUUUCUAGCAAAACGUUACGUUAUGAUUUUAAAAAUUUUAUAUAUGUGUUUUGUAUUUGAAAAGUAUAGGAGUAAAAAAGAAAAAAAAAUCUUGCAAGUAACCUGCGUGCCGACCCGCCAGCUUGUGGGCGGAUAUGAGUAAAAAUAUUGACUAUCCAAAAAUUUAUAAAUAAAUUUUACUGAUAUCUAUAUAUUUAUCACAAAUUUGAUAGAGCUAAAGUAAAGUUUAGAGGAUGAAAAUUAAUUUAUCCAAAUAUGGACAAGAAUUUAAGUAAACCAUCUCUUAUAAGGGCUCGGUGGUUGGUAACCGAGAUCCCAAAUUCGAAUUUUAGUUGAUUUAUAUUUUCAGCUGAGUUUAUUUGUAAUUUAUAUUUUUAGUUAAAUUUAUUUGUAAAUAAAUAAACGAAGCGGGUAGUUGAGAGUGAAGAUUUUUCUCUAGUUAAAGUGAGUAUUUUAAACGUUAUAGAAUAUUAUAUUCAAUAAAUUAGAUUCUAAUGUUGCAUUCUUUUAAUUACAAAAUUUAGCAGGACGAUAUAUACCUAUAAUAAAUUGUACAUAUAUCAUGUGUUAGUGAUCAUGCUGCAGCAUGAUCGCCGAAACAGUAUGCGCGUGGUGAAGCGUGCUAGCAUACCGUGUCGUGCCGUGCAGUAUCGUGUCGAUGGCGCUCACUCUUUGUACCGGUGACAUGACAAAUUUUGAUUUAUAGACCUGGUGCAGGCAACAAGUCUCUGCGUCGGCAACAAACACGUGGUGACGGAGAGAGAGAGAGAGAGAGAGAGAGAGAGAGAGAGAGAGAUUUGAAUGCGAAGUGAGAGGGAGCGCGAUUUGACUGCGAAGACAACAACAGAUCACUACCUCCAUCCCCGUCCGUCUCCAGCACGGCCCGCCAAUGGCCACCACCACCACCACCACCACCACUACCCUCCCUCCUCGAAACCCUAACCCUAACCCUAACUCCCCUGCUCCCUCCGAUCAUCCCCUCCUCUCCUCUUCCUCCGCCUCCGACGACGAUGACGACGCCUCUGACGACGUCUCCAAUGGCGAUGCCGACCCUUCCUCCGCUGCCCUCGAGCGCUCCAUCUUCGCCUCCUACCUCCGCACCUCCCCCGACGACGACGACGCCAUUGACGACGACCUCUCCAAGCUCCGCUCCUUCCUCUCCUCCUCCUCCCUCCUCCGCCGCCGCCUCCCUUCCUGCCUCAUCUGCCUCGACCCCCUCCGCCCCUCCCACCCCGUCUGGUCCUGCUCCGCCUCCUGCCACGCCCUCUUCCACCUCCCCUGCAUCCAAUCCUGGGCCCGCCAAUCCCUCCACCUCCGCUCCCCCGACUGGCCUUGCCCUAAGUGCCGAUCCCCCUACCCCAAAACCCUAAUCCCCAAAUCCUACUUCUGCUUCUGCGGCAAGGUCCAAGAUCCCCCCUUGGACCCCUGGAUCCUCCCCCACUCCUGCGGCGAGAUCUGCGGCCGCCCCCUCGCCGGGGAGUGCGGCCACACCUGCUUGCUUCUGUGCCACCCCGGCCCCUGCCCCCCCUGCCCCGUCCUCGCCUCCUCCCAAUGCUUCUGCGGCCGCCGCGCCGACGUCCGCCGCUGCGCCCGCAGGCGCUUCUCCUGUGGCGAGCCCUGUAACAAGCCCCUCCCCUGCGGCUCCCACCGCUGCCCGACGACGUGCCACGAUGGCCCGUGCCUGCCGUGCCGCGUGCGCGGGACCUACAAAUGCGCCUGCGGCGCGGAAGAGCAAGAGCGGAUUUGUGCCGAGCGCGAGUUCCGGUGCGACCGGCCGUGUGGCGGGACGCUCGCAUGCGGGAGGCACGAGUGCGGGCGCGGUUGCCACGCUGGUGCCUGCGGGGCGUGCCCGCUUCAGGGGCGCCGGACGUGCCCGUGCGGGAAGAAGGAGCACCUUGGGCUCAGCUGUGACGCUCAAGUGCCCACGUGUGGGUCCACGUGUGGGAAGAUGCUUGGCUGCGGGAUGCAUAGGUGCCCGGAGAGGUGCCACCGCGGGGCGUGUGUGGAGAAUUGUAGGAUUGUUGUUCUCAAGUCAUGCCGAUGCGGGAGCAUGAAGAAGGAGGUGAGCCCAUAAACAUCAUUAGAUGUGUUAGUUUCCUUCGUCUACAUAAACUGUAUCUAAAAUCUUCAAUUUGGUUGUUCUUUUGUGAAUUAGUGACAGCGAUUUUUGUUCCUUUAUAAUUUGAAUGCAUAAGCUUAGUGUGUGGCUAUCAGCUUCUGCCGAGUAUAAAUGAUUCGAAUGCCAGUGUCUAGCAGUUUAAGAAGAGAAAAAUGGCUUUUCACAGUUUCCAAUGUUCUUAACCUUGGUAUGCAGGAAAAUAUCUCUUUGUUGUUAUGUAUCCAUUCCUUCCAACAAAGCUGAUAAUUUUGUUAGUCGUUGUGAUUAUGGCUUCAAUACUAAACAAGAAGCAGAAGAACACAUUGGUCGCAUUGUCAUAGAAAACAAAAAGAAGAGCAAGCUUUAAGCCUCUAGUUCAACAAUGUGGCUUUUCUUUUGUGGACUCUACGACUCCAUGAAUGAUAAUUUCGGUGUAUUCUAUAGUGUUGUGAUUUGUUUGUAACUCCUUUAAUAUGACUAACCAUCUUAUUCACAUUGUACAAGUAUCAUCAUGCUUAGAAGUCAGUAUAAAUAGGUAGUGGAAACUUAAUUAUUAAGGUUCUGCUGUUUAAAGCCGCAGACUCACAGUUGAAACAAUGUACCUAGAAAUUUUUUUUUUCCUGGAAUGCACAAAGUUUGACCAUGCAUAUAUUAACUGAAGGUGCAAAAUUGAACUGUAAUCUAAUAUAGGUUCCUUGCUAUCAAGAUUUGACUUGUGAAAGGAUUUGACCAUGCAUAUAUUAACUGAAGGUGCAAAAUUGAACUGUAAUCUAAUAUAGGUUCCUUGCUAUCAAGAUUUGACUUGUGAAAGGAAGUGUCAGCGAGUACGAGAUUGUGGUCGCCAUGCUUGUAGACGCCGUUGCUGUGGAGGGGAUUGCCCACCUUGUCCAGAGGUCUGUGCAGUAAUUUCUUGUUUACCAUUGAUCUGUAACAUGAUUACAAAAGAAUUAAAAGUUCAAUAUUCAGAUUUGUGACAGGAAGCUUAGAUGCAACAACCAUAAAUGUCCUUCCCCAUGUCACAGGUAUAUAAUCCCAUUACAGAUGUCUUCUUACAUUCUAUGCUUGCAAGGAUUUGCCAUCUGCUUUAUAUUGUUCCCGUUUAACAUGUCUAUAUUGACCCUUUGUUGUGCUAAUUAUGCUGCAAAGAGAACUUGUACUGAAAUGUACGUGAUGACUCAAAUCAUUUGUCCAUAUAUGUCAUUGUUUUCCUUUUGAAUCUGAACCUAAGAGAAACUAGUUGUAUGUCGCUUUUAUCCUUAUCGGAUUAGUAAACUGAAAAUGAACCAUAGCUACAAACUUUAGUCCAGUAAUUGCUAAUUAUGUUAAUUCUUAAUAUAUCUUGAGAGUUCAAAGUUCAUUGAGAUUUCAAAGUUCAUUUCGGUCAUCACGAGUGUGUGAACCUAAAAUUUCAUUGAGAGUUAAAACUUCAUUUUGGUCAUCACGAGUGUGUGAACGUAAAAUGUCCAGUAAUUACCCUUUUUUUUUCCCCCUAUUACAUGAUUGGAACACAGUUCUGAAUAGCAGUUGAUGCAGCUGUCUAAGCAGUGAUGUCUAUAUUGUUUUCCUUUUUGAACCCCAAAACUCUCUUCAUUAUUAAACCAAUGGCAAACUUUGAACCUGCACAAUUUCAUCAUGUAGCGAAUUAUUGCGAAGUUGACGGAUAUGUAUGACUAUAAAAUUAAAAUAGGAAUGUAGCAUGCCAUAUUAAUGUAUAAGACAGUUUGAUUUAUAUAAUAAUUAUUAAUUUGGGAACAGGAGCUUUGACAAAUGAACAAUAUAUUCACACUUGUUAUGAUUAUUCUUGUGACAUGAAAUUUUGUUACUGAUACCAGUAUGCAAUUUUCUAUUCAGAGGUGCUUGUUCUCCUUGUCCAUUGAUGGUGUCCAUUUCAUGCUAUUGUGGGGAGACACGCUUUGAGGUAAAUUCUGAUGGAUUCUCAUGGUUAUUCUUAUCACUGGAUUGUCUGUAACUUGGCAAUAGCUAAUAUGGUUGUUAUUUUGUUGCACAACUGAACCUUUUUCGCUGCUCUAUAUAAUAGCUUAUAAUAGUCUAUGUCAGACAUGGUGUCUUUGAUUGAGAAUUUGAUGGCUCUGGAGAUUUACUGUUGUCCGUCUAUUUUUCCUAUGUCUCUGUUGUCUGUGUGUGAGAGAGAGACAGAGAGAAAUCCCUUUUUUUUGGUUUAUGGAGUCGGGGGUUGGGGCCUUGGGGGGGGGGGGGGGGGGGAGGGGAGGGGAGUUGGCUGUGGUUGGUUUAUGCAAAAUCAUGAUUUACCCAUACAUAGAUCCUUUUGUUAGAUUUCAUCACUGUUAGCGAAUGCACAUGCAUAAGAAUUUGUAGAUUUGGUGUGCCCAUUACAAAUAUAUUUACAUCUGCACACACUAAUUAGAUUCUAUAUUAUUAUAUUUAGAUCCUACUUAAUGAAAGGAUUUUUGAAAAUUUCUUCAUUUUUAAUUGUGAAAAUGGCACUUCACUCAAAUUUUAGUCUUUACCUUUUAAGUUUGACAUUUGAGACCCUAAACUUCCACUUGUAUUUCAUUUUAAUCCUUAAACUUUCAUUAAUGUUCGCGAAAAUUGUUGCUUGCACCUAGUUCGUAUGUAUAUCGAACUAUCUGUACAUCAUGAAUCUAUACCCUUCAUCCAUCUCAAACUUUUAAUUUAGCGACCCAAUUUCUAAAUAGGAAAAAUUGUUACUCAAUGGAUGGUUGGUUUGAAAUAUGAGAUUAGAAAAAGGUUGAUAAAUAUAUGAUACAUAAAUGUACAGCUAAAUGACACUUUUGGUCCCAAACUAUGAGGCGCGUGCCACUUUAGCCCAUAAACUUCAAUUUGGUGCAAUUUCUUUCUCCAACAUUGUAAAUUGUUGCAAUUAAGUUACACAAUCCAAUUUAUUUGACUAAAUGUUGACGUGUCACUAAAGUGGGAGUUAUGUAACAUCUUAAUUAUUGUAGCGUUAGCAAUCAUAACAUUGCCACUUUUCACUAGUGACACAUCAAUAUUUUUAGAUGACUAAAUUGGGUUGUGGGACUUGAUUGCGACAAUUUAAAAAGUGUAAGCUAGUAAUUGCAACAAAUUAAAGUUUGAGGACCAACUUAUCACGCACCUCAUAGUUUGAGGGCGAAAAGUGUAACUUAGCCUAAAUGUAUAGAUGCACUAGGUGUUGGCAAGAUGAAACUUUUUUAAGAGUUUACAUCAUCUGACCUCUAACUUGAAAGCUUGAGGACUAAAGUGAAACUUGGUUGAAAGUUCAGGAAAUGUGGUGCAAUAUAUACUUUUUUAAUGGCUAAAAUAUAGAAAACCCCCAUAUAAAUAUUCACUUUUCUAUUUUCUCCUUGUCUUUUUUGAAAACCUCUAUUUUGCCCCCUUAAAGUUAGAGUUAUAGCACUUAACUCAGCACUGCUACAAUUUUGUCACUAUUUCGUAUAUAAAUUGUAUGAUAUAGUCGAGAAACCUACUGAUAUCCAUUAUAUCUUUAAAAAUGGUGGGAAUGUAUAGGAAUCUUAUAUUUUCUUUCAAAUUAGGUAACUUCAUAAAAGAGAACCCUGACUAUUUAGUAAGUAACUUUUUGUUUUUUUUGUCAUUUCUUAGGGCUAAAUGAGUAUAUUAACCUUUUGUGUUUUUGUCAUUUCUUAGGGCUAAAUGAGUAUAUUAGUAAUUAUCAAGUUGUACCACACAAUUAUGCAUGAAAGAAUGAUGAAAAACAUUAAAUUCUAAGGGGGUAAAAUAGAGUUUCUUAAAAGCCGGGAGGGUAAAGUGUGAAAUUAGAUAUUUAUAGGGGUCGUUUUUUGUAUUUCAGCCCUUUUUAAUCAUGUCAUCGGAACAAUUGGCAAUUUGGCAUGUGUGAACUUAGAGAAGUAAUGUUUCUAUUAAGUAUUAACCCACGUCCAAGUCAUGCAUUCGAAGAUAUUAGGAUUUGCUAACUAACUAACUAACGAAUUUUGGUUUGUUGAUUUUGAAAAAUAUGGUACAAGAAUGCUGUAUUCAACAUAUUCUUUUGCCAAUUAGGUUGCUUGUCUUCUUGCUGAUGAUUUAAUUUGGCUUUAUUACUGUUCUUUGAAUAUUGAACUGAAGUUGUCUAGGUCUGCUUUGCCAUUUUGAAAAUUUUCAUGCCUAAUUAUGAGCACUAUCUUGAAAUAAUGUUUCCUGCCUUAUUAUUACCAGGUUCCAUGUGGGACUGAGAAGAAUCAGAAGCCUCCGAAAUGUUCAAAACGGUGCUUUAUAUCUCGCCUCUGUAGACAUAAGUCUGAAUGCCGGGUAAAUAUUACCUUUUUUCCCCCUGAUUCAUUAAUGUCUCCUAUGAUACUUCCGACGCACUUUGUCAAAAUUCUUUAAUUGUUCUUUCCAGCAUUAUUUUCAGUUUGGUUGUUCACUUUUUUUUAGAGAUUGAUACUAUUUUCUUUUGUUGCCUUAGUAUCUAGUUUGUUAAUAGAGAUUGCUUUCAUGCCCUACUUUGAUACUUUUUGUAGAACUAUUCUAGCGAUGUUGAUUUAGUUGUAUGUGUAAUAGCAACAGGGAAAUGAUCUUAUAUGGACUGUUAAUAUAUGUUUUAGCUUUCUUUAUAAGUUGCCUCGUGUCGCCGAAUUAUUCAAUCGUGCCUGUUCGUCUGUCUAGUCACUUGUUUCUUUAAUUAUAUGGAAAACAUGGAUGCCAAGAUUAAAUCAAACUUUUGCCCAUUCACCAAGUACUCUCAGUAGAGAUGAAAAAUAGAAAUUAUAUAUUAACUUUUCAGUAUGUAAAUUCUCUAGCAGAGUGUUUGCGCUGUCAUUGAUCUGAUGAGCUGGAGAGAAGUUUCCAUGUUGAAUAUCAAAUUUUUGUUCCAGAGAGAAGUAUUAUUAAAGCUAAUGCCAUCAGAAAUGUUUUUCAUUUAAUAGCAACAGUGAUUAAAAUAUCAGACUCUUGCUAGAAGCUGUGUAUUGGCCCCAUAGAGAAAUUGAUGUAGGCAUUCUAAUUGAAUUUCUAUCAAAAUGGAUAUGGUACUAACUGCAAGUGCAUUCAGUUAUCUUGGAUGUAUAUUGGACGUUCAGAUAGUUGGAUAUUGUCAUAAUAUAGCAAUUGUAUGACGAAUGUUCUUUUUUUCGUUCUUCUUUUGGUUCUUUUUGAGAAAUAUUCAUAUGGCCCGAAUUGAACUAGUUAAUUUACUUAUAUACAUCCUUAUUUUUCAUUUAUGUCCUUCAAAACUUAGUACCGCACAUAGAUGGCCUUCUACUUACAAAAGUGCACCUUUUAUGAAAUUGCACUUUCUAGGGGUAUUGUAUGAGAAUAUCUAAAAUAUAUGAUCUUACAGGGAUAUGUAUGUAGAAGCUCUUUUUGUUACUUAUGUCCUCAUGGUUUUACAUGUGAUAAGGGUUACCUUUUAUGGUUUAUGUGAACAUCUGAGAUCACUUGGCUCUUUGAGGAACUGAUUCAAUUUUGCCUCACGACAUCUCCAUUUUCUUUUUCCAGCCCCACAAAUGCCACUAUGGUGCUUGCCCACCUUGCCGAAUGACCUGUGGGGAGGAGCUUCCUUGUGGUCACAAGUGUAGAGAAAGGUAUGGAGUUUCAAGCCUGAAUUUUUAUACGUAAAUAAAGUUGGCAUGUCCAAUUUAAUAUGUUUUGAAGUCCUUUUAAUUCUCUUGCUUCACUUUAUUUAUAUAAUGUAGGUGCCAUGGUCCUAUACCUCCUCCUAACCCAGAGUUCACAUUGAAACCAAAGAAAAAGAGAAUAGGAAGGUCCAUUGAAUGUACACCUGGAUCACCAUGUCCACCUUGUCGAGAAAUUGUUCUAGUGUCAUGCUUUGGCCAGCAUAUUGGCGAAGAGCGUCCAGUUAGUUACAAUCUCUCCCUUCCUCCCUCCCUUCCUCUAAUAAGCACACAAGUUGAUAUUGCAUUGCUCUGACGGUAUUUGCUGUUAAUUUUCAGUUGGUGUGCUCCACUAAGAAGCCGUUUCCAUGUCAGAACUUAUGUGGCAACCUUCUUCCCUGUGGCAAUCAUUACUGCACAAAAUCAUGCCAUGUUUUGAAGAGUCAGUUGUUUGUUUUAGACCAUAAUGAAAAGCAUGAAAAUUCUCAUCAACAAGAAUCGAUCAUCUUGCCAUUCAAUGCUCAGAGUCCACUUGCUGAGCCCUGUGAAGAAUGCUACCUCCCUUGUCAAAAGGUUUAAUUUUCUUUGUUGACAUAUUUGCUUCUAUACCCUUACAAAUAUUAUCUUAUAUAUAUGAUGCUCUAAAAUGUGAGCAUUCAUAUAUGCAUUUCAAAAAUUUGAAAAAUUUGCUGCUUGUUUUGUUCACUUUUGCUUCUGCUAUCAGCUUUAGCUGCUGUAGCGAUAUUUGAUCAAGCAUUUGGCAACUACAAAGUUUGGGUCUGUUGCUAAUGGAAUGCUGAAAUAAGAUUUCAAGAUCCAAAACCAAGAGAUCAAAUUUGGAAUUUCUGCUCCUGCCAGGAAAAGCUGUUAGAAUGAUAAUGCUUUUCCAAAUAGCACAACUUAGACAGUACUGCCCAAGAGCUGGUGCAUAGUCUCUUACUUUUAUUCCAUUGUUCUUACUAAAAGUGCCCCUCUAAAAAUUGUUUACUACUGCAGCCAAGUUUCCCCAUUAAUUGGACCAGACGACUUCCAAAAUCAAAAUAAGGGAACUUCUGUAAAAACUCUAAUUUAUAUUUAAAAAUUUUGAUUUUACAGGGUUAUGUAUGUAAAAAGAUGACUAUACAACUAUACAAGGAUAAAUAUGUUAUUGACUCUCUUUUUUUGAGAAAACCCUAGUUUAAUGAAAGAACUAGAGGUUAUUCUUGCUUUCUGUGGCAUAUCAAAUUGCUGAGUUUGAUUCCAACUGCUUUCAGGACAGGGAGCCCUCUUGCUCGCAUCCUUGCCCUCUUCGAUGCCAUUCGGAUAACUGCCCUCCUUGCAAAGUCCUUGUAAAAAGAGCAUGCCAUUGUGGUGCCAUGGUGCAUGUUUUCGAGUGUUUGUAUUACAAUAGCAUGAGUGAUGAGGAGCAACAGAGAGUACGAACGUGUAGCGGCCCAUGCCACAGGUAAAUUGUACUCUUUUUUUUCCCCUCAUUCGUAGCUAGUUCUUGUAGCUAUUUUCUAGUUGCAAUUUUGAUUGUACAUUGUAUAUUGUUCAGCUGAUUCUGUUUUUUUAUUUUUCUUUUUUAUUAUUUAUUUAUUUAUUUAUUUUUUUGGCAUAUACUUCACACUACUGUGUGUUCGGUUGCUACCGUAUUUCUUGCUUCUUUAUUAGUUUGGACCAAAGUAUCAGAGCAAAAAAAAAAAAGUCUUUUGCGAAGUUUUGCUUUUGCUUCAUUUCUAUGUAGUGGCAUUUAGUGUUUUCCAAUCCUUCCUUAGCUCAUGUUUCAAAAUUUUCACUUUGUUUAUAGUAGAAACAAAAUGAAGAAAAAUAAGAGGGGGAAAUCAGAAGAGUAAUUUACUCACUGAAAGGAAAUAACUAUGCUAAAUGAGUCUACAAGAAAUGUUGAGAUGCAUAGUGUAAAGUAAAUGCUGGGUGAAAUAUCAUAACAGCUUAAAACUUUUUGUUAAAUGUGCGGCAUUCAUCUUGCAAUUUCAUGUCUCCUGUGUUAUCCACUUUUUCAUUUUGGAGAGAAAUAUACCUAUUGAGAAAGGUCAUUUUCUUUCUGUUUUUAUUCCUUUUCUCCUUUUAAGUUUCAACCCAAAUGAGAGAAAUGAUUCUCUCCUGUCUAUCCCUAUGGGGGUGGCAAAAAUUCAGGUAUAGAUCAAAACUCAGUUGGACAACUGUUAAGAAGAGUGAAUAUUCAAUGUGUUCGGACCUGACCUGGACCCGAAUUUUGGACCACAUAUUGUGUCUAGAUUUGAACCUAGUUUAAUACCGGGUGUCCGUAUGGUCAAGCCCGGCUUUAAGCCAAAUUCGAAAAAAUAAAAAAAUAUAGUGAAUAAAAAUUUAAAUUCGAAAUUUGUGGAUUUAAAAUGAAAAUAUAGUAAUUAGGGGUGGCAAAAUAUGACUCAAACCAGUUGAUCGGCUCUAGCGACCCGAAAAUUAACCGGAUCCGAACAAAGAAUUCUGUUUGGAAACCUGGGUCAAAACAAAUUAUUUUUUGUCUGGAUUAAAAUUGGGAACCAGUCUGGACAUGAAAAUUCGGGCAAAGCGGGCUAGCGACCCGACUUCACACAUUGUCUAAAUGGUAAAUGCUAGUGUUAAAUUAUAUUAAGUUAUUUUUUAUUUUUAAAUAGUUUACUGUAAAAAGUAAUAUGAAAAGUCUCCACAAUUACUAUAUUUUUAUUUUGAAAUACACAAUUUAAAUUUCAUACAUAUUUUUUAUUCUUUUUUUUUUGAAUUUUAGCUUAAAAUUGGGUCAAACCAGUUCAGAUUCGAACACUUGAUUUUAAAUUGGGUUCAAGUUCGGACAGAAUCUGUUGCUGAAAAUUUGUGUCUUGGGUCCGGACACGGUGUACAUUUAUUAUCCUUGAUAGUUGUCUAACCCUACUUGAUAUUUGACCCGGACCCUAAUUUUUGCUACCCCUAGUUGGAGUUGUAAAAACAUUUCAUAUAUACUGGUAAGAGUCUGGCUAGGGUGCUUUUAGAAGCACCAAGGUAUUGGUGCUAUAGCCUUUUUGGCUAUUGGCCAAAACCUAGCGGCUCUUGGAUCAUGCACAAUGGCGGGCCCCACAAGUAACCACCAUUGUUGACAUUUGAUCCAAUGGUUAAAAGGGUAGAUCCAAGGGUUCAAAAAUUAUUAGCACCAAGGCCUUGAUACUUUUAGAAGCAUUCCAGCUCAAUUCUAUUUUUAAAAUAAACUAUUUAAAUUAAAAAAUAACAUACUGUAAUAUCACUUUAUUUUUUAAAUUAUUUGUGUAAAACUAGGUUGUUGACCUAGUUUGUCCAAAUUUUCUUGUUUGUACUCGACCGGGUGUUUAACGAUCCGUGCAAAUUAUUUUGUCUGGACCCAAUUUUCCGGAUGGGAUUCUUUGUGCAAAUCAGGUUAUUUUCGGGUUAGACCAGGUCGGUCAACUGCAGGGGGAGUUGCACCUUGCACCCCAAUUUCUCUUCUUUUCUCUCCAUCCAAAUGGAGUUAGAGAGUGAUAUUGCUGCAAUAAUUGCUAUGAGGAAGUUGGGUUCUGUUUUCUGCCCACAAUAAGGCAGUAUAUGAUAGCUUUUGCAGAAAAACUUCAAUUGUCUAAAUGUUUGGAGAGAAUAAUUGCCCAAUGGAAUUAGAGGAAACCAGAGAAUAUGCGAUACAUCCAACAGCAUUGGAGCUUUUUUUUUUUUUCCUUUUUUCUUUCCCGUUCUGUUUGGAGAAUAUGAGAUUAUUCUAAAGCACUUCAAUUUAUUGAGGCUUUGACACUUCUACCUAUAAAAUGAUAGAUAAAAAAUCCAAUUUUCCUUUUUAUUUAAACUGGAGCCGUGAGAUGGUAUCUUUUUGUUAUGGAUGUCUACGGACAGUUAACAUGUUUGCUGUGUAUGGCUUCUUUUAUUGCAAGUCAACUUAACAUGAUGAGAAUGUUCAUCUUAUUCAUGAUUGAGUACUUCACUAUGAGACUACGCCUCUAUAAUAGAAUUACAUGUAAACCAUUUUAUGGGAUGAAGUUCUCAAACCUGAAAUUCUGGUGCAGGAAAUUGCCCAACUGCCCACACCUAUGUUCUGAAAUUUGUCAUCCUGGUCAGUGCCCAUCAUCUGAUCGGUGUUUGAAAAAGGUAGAUGUCUGGUAUUUUCUUUUUUGUACAAUGCCACCAAAAUUUAUGAAGCUUUUUUUUUUUGUUCUUCCGUAUUUAAUUUUUGUCUAAAUAGCAAGUUUGUUGACUUUUGUUUAUAUGCAAGUUAGUUUGUCUUGCUAAUUUGAGUAGUUGAUAAGUAAAUGCAGUUGAAGAACCUUCUCUUUUAAAUUCCAAAUAUUCUUUAAUCUCCAACCUACUUAUUCCACUAUAUUAUUUUAAUGGAUCAGUUUAUUGGACAAAUUUAUGUCACUAUUCCAAGUAGCUAAAGAACCAUCUCUUUAUCACUGUGCAAUGAUGCUCAUAUUUGACAUAUAAAAUGGCUGCAUUGGAAUGUCGAUACUGAUCAUGUUCAGCAACCAUCGUCAGUGAAUGACUAAUAAUUCUCUUUAAAGACGACCUUCCUGCUCUAUGUUGUCCACAAAAUCAUACAAAGAUGAGUUUCACCCUGCAGCUUGCAAACCAAGACGAUGUUCACUUUGUGCCAGAGAUUAACUCUUUUGAUGUUAAUUGUAUACAGAUGCCGAAAGGACUCUGCUUAUUUUCAUCUUCUUUCUUGAUUUAAACAGGUUGAUCAUAUUGAGAUAAUAGUGGCGACGUCCACCUAUUAAAGAUAGUUUCUUUUGUUUCUACAUUUUCAGGAACUUGUAAAUGUAGAACAUCAGAUCUUAUUGCCAAGUUUAUGCAGAUGCCUUGAACUGCAAAAUGUGCUUGUGAAAUAAAAUAUCAUAUUAGAACUUCUCUUUAAACUCUCUUGUAGAGCUUUUCGCUGCAAUAGAUUCAGACGCUUCACAUUUUGGGCCCAAAGGCUCGGUUUAGUUAUUGCUAUGGUAGAAAGCUCCAAACAAUUUGUUUCCCAAGCACUUGUGUUUUUGAAGGUCUUUGCAUUCUGAAGUAGAGGAUCUGCUCUAAAAGCCAAGCCAAGCUGAAAAUUUUUAAUUUGUAUUAUGAAAAAAAAUCAAGCGGUCCUGUUUCAUUCAGUUAUUCAUUUUCUCUAUUUAUUUGAUACUAUUUUGUAAGGUCAAUGUCCGAUGUGCAUGUAAUACUGUGAAAAGGGAGUGGUUAUGCCAAGAUGUCGUUAAAGCAUAUCGAAAUGCUGGUCGCGAUCCAAAGGAUGUAUCUAAGACCCAGUUCGGAGUUGGUCUGCUUCCCUGUGGUGUAGAUUGCAAAAGAAAAGUCAAGGUUGUUGACUCAGAAUUGCAUCUUCGCAAAGCUAAUGAGAUCAAGGUAUAAAAUAUAUUUGCUUCUAAGUUAUAUUUUUUGUUAUUGACUAUGAUUUAUACAUGACAUAAUAUGUUGCAUUAAAAUAUAAUUUUAUAUUUAUUAAAUGUAAAGAGUUGUAUUAGAAGAACCUGAAAUGUAGUAAGUUAUAAAAGAGAACCAAAGAGGUGAAACUAAAUGAGAAUUUGUAUUCCUUGUAUUCCAGAUUUAAUUAAUCAACCAGCAAUAUCCAAGCUGACAACAACUUUCCUACAUAAAUGCAAUGUCCAGGCUCAAUAUGCGCCUGCUUUUGCAACUGGAAAGUUUAUUUUCCUUCCUGUUCGGCAUGUGAUUUGUUUGCUUUGCUGUAAUUUGUGCAUAUUGCAAAUCUAUGAGUGCUUAAAAUCUGUAGAUAAAUAAGUAAGAUGGAAUAAAUUCUGUGAGAACUUGGUAAUAAAACAUAAAUCAGGUUAUUUGUUCAAUCAUCUCUGCCUAAUUCUCAGAGGUGGACCUAGGGUUGGGAUUAUAUCUGCUAGAAAAACAAACUAGAACGAUUUUUCUUGAUAAGAAAAGUAGCUUGUUUAAGGAUACUGAAUUGACCAUUUUAUUUAUGGCCUGUUUGGCCUGGCAGGAGUUAUCGGAGAAGUGUUGUUUGAGUAGAGCGUUCGACAGACACUGAUAGCCUUUUCCUGGAAGUCUCCCCAACAGAUAGAUCCCCACUGCAUGAAGCUUAAAAUUUAAGCAUUUACUUUUGGGUCCGAUAGAUUUAUUUCGGCAUCUUGCCACAGCUAAAGCUCCAGACUUUUAAUUUACCAAAUGGUUUCUAGUUGUUCUUCGAAGUAGAAAAGCUGUUCAAAAAGUCGAACCGAACAAGCAUGAAUGUUUACGCCUGAUUAGAAUGUCAUCUUAAAUUUGAACAUUUUGUGCCCUCUGUAGGUAUAAACUUAUUUACAAAAAUUUCCCGAAAGUACUUGCGUUCCCCUUUCCUGAGAAGAAAAGUUCAUUCUAAUUUUGAAUAUACAAACAAUUUCUCUCUUACGUAUAUGAAGUAUAUUGAUGAUACUGUUUCCUGUGGGCUGACUACUUGUUCUUUUCCAUAGAGCCCCGUCGUAGAAGCUGCAGACGUGCCGAAACGGAGGAAGAGACGUGAGCGGGUGCAAGAAACAAAGCAGAUUUCAAAGUUUCAGGUUAGUGACAUAAAAAUUUCUGCGAUCAAAAUGUCAGUAUUUUUCUGAACUGCAUAACGAAAUUAAGCAUUUGUUUCGCAGGAAAUCAAGAAAACCAUCUGGAGAUGUCUCUUAGUAAUGCUGUUGUUUAUUGUUGUGGUUUUGAUCGCAUAUUUUGGCUAUAAAGGAAUCUUCUGGCUCUCUGAUCGGAUGAAUGAAAUCGAAGAACAGAGGAUGAGGAAACGAUUGCCGAGAAUUUAAGCGCUGAAUGGCUUGAAAAGAUUAUUUAUUAUUUUCGGGGGUAAAUAGGAAAAAAGUAUUACUUUGUUCGCCAAAGUUUGCUCAUCUCUGGGGAAUCAUAGGAAAAAAAGAAAAAGAAAAAAAAGAGAGAACCUUGUUAGGGUUUCAUUGUUUGUCGUGUGAGUGGAAAAUAUACUGAAUGUUUGAUAUUGGAUAUUUGCAUGGGAUAAUUUCUUGACAAUAAUUAUUGCUAAUUUUUUGUAUCAGUAUGAUAGAAUUCAAAAGAUCGAGAGAAGUGUAGUAAUUGAUGGUUGGACUUAUUUUCAAUGAUUUAAAACUCGAGUCAGACCAACCGGUUCAACCGGUCUCAUCAUUAUCUAGUCUAUAAAGCUAUUUAGUUCAACUUCUUGAAUGAAAUAAGUGUAUUUUGAACCGUGGGUUGAAUCAUUUGAAUCGACGGUUCAACUAUAAAACUGUUGAACUGGUUCGAUUCAGUUUUAAUUAAACUGACCGAUGCCAAUUUGCAUAAAAAAUUUACAAAUUUUGAGCGUUUGUAAAAUUGGGCCAUAUUUUUUAAUUUUGCAGAUUCGGAUCGAAUUUUUCGCCAUCGAACGAAAAUAUCCUUAUUCCUUUUCUUUUCCUCUUUUCUUUUUUUUUUUUUUACCUCUCUCUUCUUUUUUUUUUGUUUUUUUUUUCCCUUCUUCUUCUUUUUUUUUCCAAGUAUGCGAAAUUGAUUAUGUCGAGGCUAUUAUGACAAUGACGAUGCCUAUUCUUUUUCUUCCGCCACCCGCCGUUGCGCCCUCUGCUGCACCCCCGCCGCCGCGCUUGCGUUCGCUUACCUCUACUACCAACCCCGCCUCCCCUCCUUCCUCCUCCUCUCAGUCCGACCCCACCGCGCUCCCCCUGAUCCUUCCACCCGCGCCGCUGCUGCCACCCACGCCGUUGCCGCUGCCACAUCCCACUUUCUCCGCUCCGCUGCGCCACGCUCUGCUACCGCUGCCACCAGGGGCCCGCAUCCCACAUGAUGCCGCGGCCGCUACCCUCGCCGCUGUCGCCACCCGCGCUGUUGCUGCUGCCGCAUCCUACCUUCUCUGCUCCGUCGCGCCACACUUCGCUGCCUUUGCCACCCGGGGCCCGCGUCCCACCUUCUUCGUAGGGCUUCAGGGAGGAGAAGGAGAAAGAAGGACGAAGAAGAUGAAGAAAAAAAAUUGUGUAAAUUGGAGGAAGAAGAAGAAAAAAAAAAAUGUAAAUUUCACUUAAAUGGUGUAAAAUUGGGCAAAACGGUGCAAAUUUGGGCAAAAAAUUAGGCCAAUUUUGAUGAGAAUUGCACAAUUUUGCCCAAUUUUGCACCAUUUCGUCCAAAAUUGUACAAUUUUUUCUUUUCCUCCUCUUCCUCUUCCUUCUUCCUUUUUUUACUAUUUUUUACAUCUUAAAAAAUUAUAUUUUUUGGACGCUCUCAUCUCCCUCGCCGGAGAGUAAGACUCGGACGGCGAUCUUGAGGUGGGCGAGGGAAGCUCCUUCAGCCGGUCGCGCUCCCGCUGGUCCUCCAACAAAAACAGCGCCGCCAGCCCAGAUAGGAACCCGCGUUCGGCGUGCUUGCGGAGGGAGGCCUGGUCCGCCCCCAACAUCGACGCCGACAGGAUGUUGUAGGCGAUGAGGUGUGGCCACAGCGGCGCGAGGGACGCGACGGGGAGUCGUCGUCGAGGAGGAGGUAUUCUGGAGGAGGGGGGUGGCGGCAGCAGGGGAGGCGGGCAGCGGGAGGGGGCAGAAGAGGUUGGCGGACAAUAUAGCGAAGAGCGGGCGAAGGAUUCCGAGGGGGAGUGGGCGCCGGGCGGAGCGGAUGGAGGAGGAAAAAAAUGGCGAAGGAAAAAAAAAAAAGAAAGAGAGAAAGAAAAGGAAUAAGGGUAUUUUCGUUCAAUAAAAAAAAAAUCGGUCAGAAUUUGCAAAAUUGAAAAAUGUGACCCAGUUUUGCUAAAACUCAAAACUUGUGGAUUUUUUAUGCAAAUUGGCAAUAACUUAUAGUAAUAAUUAUCAUAUUACAUAUACUAGUAUUAUAAUUUAUAUUUAUAAACAAAUAUAUAUUAUAAUUAUCAUAAAAAUUAUUAGUACUAGCAACUAACCCGUGCAAUGCACGGAUUUUAAAUUUAUCUUUUAAUUAUAUUUUUUAUAUAAUAUAUAUUAAUUUUUACAUAUUAAGUUUUUCUAAUAUAUUUUUAUUACAAUUUUUAUAUAAUAUAUAUUAAUUUUUACAUAUUAAGCUUUUAUUAGAAAAAUUAUUGAAUCAAAUUAAAAUAAAUACUAUCAUGAUAUACUAAUAGAUUGUAAGUAAAUAAUUUAAAAUGAAAAGAUUUUAAAAUGAAAAAGUUAAAAAGGUUCAAAUCCAUUAAAAAUUUAACAUAAUUAUUAUUUAUCUAUUUUUUAAUACACAAUAUUGAAAUGACGAAGAAAAUUAAUUUUAUUUCAAAUUUUUAAUGACUAAUUCUAUAAAGUUAUUUUUUGAAGGAUUUAAAGUGACUAAAUUUGAAAAAUAAAUUUUUAGAAUUUGUGAAGCAUGAUACAUAUUAUGAUUUUUUUAAACUAAAAAAUAAUUAUUAUUGUGAAUAAUUAGUCAUGUAAUGUAUAUCGAUUAUUUUAAACAAAUCAAUCAAAAAUUUAAAUAUAAAUAUCAAACAUACCUCCCAAAAGUAAUUAUUGAGCAUUUCUUGCGAUAGGGGCAAAUAUUUAUGCGCUCUGAAAUUUUCAAUACUAUGACGAAGUCCAAAACUACUGGUAUGUAUCCUGAAAAAAAAAAAAGAUAAUAUAUACAUUACAAACAGACCAAAUCAUUAAGCGUAAUUAUUUUCGAAUUUUGAAAUAAACUUACAUUUUGUAGAAAGAUUGUGCAUAAAGAUGAAAAAUAAACUUAUAUUUUCUAGAAAGAUUGUGCAUAAAGAUAGAAAAUAAGUCUUGCCUCCACCUAUCAUACAUAUGGAUAAUAAUAUUGAAACGGAAGGUGGUGAGAUGAUAUCUUGAGCAGUUACGUAUCUAGGACCCCUUACGCAAAUCAACGCGUCAAGGAAAAAGGGUAUCAUCAAGAUUUUGGGCCUAAAAAGAUGAUUUUCUUAUAAUAAAUCAAUAAAUUAUAAUUUUAAGAUAAAAAAUUUGUAACUUAACUAUACAAGUUGAAUAGCCCCCAAUCAAAAAAAGAAAGGAACAAAAAUAAGAAAAAAAAUAACUAUUGUGCAGUUAAGGAAAAAAAAAUUAUUACUUUUAUUAUUUUAAUAUUUAAAAAUAAGUAAAGCUAUUAUAUAUAAAAAAAAUAUAUAAAAAAGAAGACCAAAUUUUACAAUAUCAAAAUAAUUUGGUAUGUAUGGUUAUGAUUUCUUCUAAUUAUUUAAAUAUUUGUAUAAUAAUUUAAUUAAAAUAGUUGUAUAUAUAUAUAUAUAUAUAUAUAAAUAUAUUAAUAUAUAUAUAUAUAUAUAUAUAAAAUCCAAAAUAUUAAAUAAAAUUAAAACAAACAAAUGCGAUUUUCAACGCCGCCUCCGCCUCUUUCCUAUGACGCACCCCGCUCGCAUCAUCCUGCAAUGGGUAAAAGUAAAACCGCCGAGAGAUCGUUAGAACCUAAACCUAAAGAGAAAUGAGAGAGAGAAUUAUAACAGUUGAAUAGGCUUCAUCAAAGAAGGGAAAAAAAAAAAUAACUGUUGUUCAGUUAAGAAAAAAAAUACUGGUUGUGUAGUUUAAGAAAAAAUAACUAUUGUGCAAUUAAGGAAAAAAAAUAUUACUUAUUAUUAUUAAUAUUUAAAAAUAAGUAAGCUUUAAUAUAAAAAAUAUAUAUAAAGAGAAGACAAAUUUAACAAAUAUUAAAAUAAUUUGGUAUGUAUGGUUAUUAUUUCUUCUAAUUAUUUUAAAUAUUUGUAUAUAAUUUAAUUAAAAUAGUUAUAUAUUAAUUGUUGUGAUGUUAUCUAUUUCCUCUAAUUACUUAAAUAUUUGUAUAAUAAUUUAAUUAAAAUAGUUGGUUAUGAUUUCUCUAAUUACGUAAAUAUUUGUAUAAUAUUAAUUAAAAUAGUUGGUUAUAAUAUAUAUAUUAUAUAAUAUAUAUAUAUAUAUAUAUAUAUAUAUAUAAUAUAUAUAUAAAUAUAUAUAUAUAUAUGCCACGUCGUACAUUGAAAUUUCUUUGUAAGUGCGCCACUGGCAUUAUAUGGUUCAAUUGGAACAAUGCUUCCAAAUUAUAUAUAUUAUAUAUAUAUAUAUAUAUAUUAUAAAUAUAUAUAUAUAUAUAUAUAUAAUAUAUAUAUAUAUGAUUAUAAGAUAUUAUAUAUUAUUAUUAAGAUAUAUAUUAUUAUUAUCAUUAUUAUUAUUAUAACUUAUAUUUUCAUUAAUUACAUUAAAAUUAUAUAAUAAUACUUAAAAGUAUGUAAUAUAAUUAUAAUAUAUUAAUGUAUGCAUAUAAUAUUAUAUAAUAAAAAUAUAAAAUAUGUAUAUAUAAUUUUCAUCUAUAUAUAUAUUAUAUAUAAUAGCUAUAUUACCUAUUAGAAGUUGGACUGAGCUACUAUUAGUAGUAAAAUCCCAUUGCAGUUACCAAUUUUUUAACCUUUGGAUCAACUCUUUUCAUCAUUUCUAACCAUUGGAUUAAAUACUAUAACCCAGUGGGGACUACUCAACCCUAGGGGGACCACUCAACUCUAACUGACUAAUAUCAUCCUAACCCUACAAUUUUUUAUCCAAGGGUUAAAAACUUAAUAGCAAAAAGAAAAUUUUACUAUUAAUAGUAUUCCAGUCUAAGUAUGAGAGAGAGGGAGUGGUUCACAUUGGACCACUCAUGCGAUCCACGAGAACUAGAAAAUCUCGUAAACCGCGUUUUUUUGAGCAGCCUGUGAGCUACGAUUUUUGGAGAAAAUUUGCAGCGGAAAACAAAAACUUCAUUUUUUCCGGAUAAUCUAUAAAAAAAUAUUUCCAACAAAAUUUUUUACAAGCAACCAAACAACGAAAACCACUUUUCAACCGAAAAUUUUUUUUCGAAGUAGUUUUAUGGGCAACCAAACAGAUCCUUAGUUAAGGGGGUGUUUGGUUAGUUAUAAAACUACAGAAAAUAAUUUUUCAUGACAAAGUAUUAUUGAUGGAAAAAUAAUCUUAUAGCUUUUAAUGUUUGAUUUGUAGUUAAAAAAAAAAAACCUUUCCUGACUUAUUUAUUUGGUCCGUAGGGAAAAUAAAUGGAAAAGAUAUUGUAUAUUUUUUUUCCUAUUAUUUAGUUAUUUAAAAAUUUUAAAUUUACACAUUAUUACAAUAUUAUAAUUUAUAAAUUAUAUGUCACUAAGAAAUAUAUUAAAUUUUUAUGCAAUAUAUUUUACUAUUAUUAUAUAUUAGAAUAUAUAAUCUACAUUCAGUAUUUUAUUAAAUUAUAUAAAUAUGUAUAACAGCGGUGUAGGCCUUUGGCAACUCGCACGGUCCAUCAGCGAGCGUGCUCACUUGUGGACCGCGUGAAAAUUCUGAGCUGAAAACGAGGCACAUUUUUCGAUAAUCUGUAAAGUUAUUUUACAGAAAAUUAUUUUACAUCAAACGAAACUGAUGAAAAAUUAGUUUUUAAACUGAAUAACAUUUCAGGCUAUCUCUAUAUUGGCAGUUAUUUUGGAUAGAAUAUCAACAGAUCGGAUUCGAGACGGAUAUUCAAAAAUCUGAAUCCGAACCUGACCCCAAGGCCAAAACUAGAACCAUGUAAGGACUGAAAUUUUGACAGUGCAACUAAACUCUCUAUUGACGAUGUUUAUAUGUGUAAUUUAAUUACAUAAGCACUCGUCAAGUUUCAGGAGAAAAUGAGCUAAAAUGGAGAAGUUACGCGAUUAUUAGUUUUCACUUAAGUGAAUAGUAACUCCGGUUUUCCGGAGAAGCCACGGAGUAGAGAUGGCUUUCGGCGCGUAUCGGACUCCGUUCAUAGCGAUCCAAUAGCUCGUUUCAAACGGUUCAGCUAUUCUGGAACCAAUGGCACUGACGGAUUUCAGAUCCGAUGCACGGUUUUCGAGAAAAAGGAGUUUUAAGAAAAGAGGGUUUCCGCUCUUUGCUAGUCGUGCAUUUUAAAACUCCUCGUGCUCUGUGCUUGUGACCUGGGGUUAGGUGAGAGUUGUUUCUGGUACCUACUAGUGGUAGGGAAUUCAAAUACGGGUUUGAAUUAUAGGUUUUUGGGUUUUCACAUAAGUCUAGGUGUGACUUAUGGAUUAAUUAGAGAGCGGAGGGAUUCCGUCGCGAAUCUGUGACCAAAUCUGACGAAACAAGAUUGUAGUUUUAUUACCCUCGUCAUGCUGAAUGCGAUGGUGCCGUCGGAUCGAAAAUCCGACAGACGGAUCUCCGGGAAUUGCGAGAUGUCCGCUAAGGGGUCGAAUUUUGGCAAAACGGAUAAUCCGCGAAAAGCGCGGCAUUUUAUGUACCGAAUCGCGAGAGAUCGGACGUGGAGGUAUGUACGCGCAAGUUGCAUGCCCUGGCAGGGGCUGAACCUUAAAUAUUUUGUGUUGGAGGGGUUUUCUGCAAAAGUCCACUUGUAUAUAUAUUGGUAGUUAGGGUUUUUGGGCACGAAACCCUAGAUCGAGUCACCUUCCUCCCCCAGCAAACCCUAGAUGACUUCAACCCAUCCCUGCCCUCGUCGUGCUCGCGCCCCAGUCGCCGGCAAGCGACCCCGGCCGUGGGAAAAGCCAAGGUUCCCCUCUCCUUUCCCCUCGGCCAGCCCUCCUCCCUACAGAGGUGACCUGGAAAGCUGUCGUUAACCCUCCUGGAGGUUUCCCUCGGCAGAGACCGCUCUCCGGCGUCGACCUCGGCCGUCCCUGCCAUCAGCACGCACCGCCGGCCGCUGCUCCUGCUGUUGCGGCCAGCCCGAGCAAGAUCUGGCCGUGGGUGGCCAGAUCUCUCUCCCUUGCGCCGCCGUCCCGUGGGAUGGGCUGCGCCGCCCUUCCAGGCCUCCGACGAUCCCUCACCGACGGUAGCCGACGUCCUUGCGCGCCGCCGGCGCCGUUGGGACCUUCUGCGGCGAUCUGCUGCAGCUCGGGCCGAGUUCGAGUGAGCUCGUGGCCGCGAGCUGCAGCCGCCUCGAGGCGGGCCGCCCCGCCUCCCGCUGCCGUCGGCGACCUCCCGCUUAUGUUUCCCGACGUCCCCGACCACCGCCGGCCGCCGCCCGAAGCUCCUGCAGCCGCCCAGACUUGGUGCCGGCCGAGGCUAGGCUUCCCUCCAAUCCGCGCGUCGCCGCCGCCCACAGCGGGGAGCACCACCCUCCCCACGGCCUCCGGUGAUGGAUCGCCGUCGCCCCGACCUCCUCCGGCCGCCGCCGCGCCGCCGGGAACACAUGGAACCCGAGAGCAAGCCGCGGCUUGAUCUCCUCCGCCACGCCACUGGCCGCCUCCCGCCGCCGGCCAGCAGGUUCCCCGGACCCCUCGGACCAGCUGCUCCCAUCUCCGGCCGAAGCGCUCGCCGUCCGACAGCCGCCGGCCGUGCCCUAGCUCCACCCUGUCCGGUAAGCUAUUUUCAGCCUGUCUGCGCACUAGUUCCUUGUUUAGAUCACUGUUUCUGCGACCCGGGGCUGUUCCGAUGCCCCCAGAGGUGAGCACGGUGAUCUUCAGUCAGUCCUGAUCACAAUGCUCACCUCAUUUAGGGUCAGCGAGCUCCGGAUGAAUUAAUUAGAUGCGUUUUAGUUUCAGUGCGCGCUGUUUAGUUGAAUUUCGUGUCGCUCGUGCGCGUCCCACAGUGGCCGGAUUUGCUCCGAAAGGUGAGCACGGCUUCCGGCACGCCGAGACCUGUUAGCGGGUGUCUCAGCUUCGCUGAUUCACUUCUGGUUUGUGCAGACGGACCAUAAAAGCGCCGAAAUCGCAUGAAAUAAUGCGAUUUCGGGUAUUCGGACGGGCUUUUAUGCAUUUUGGUUCGUCGUAGCUAUUGUUGGCAGCAAGUGCUGGUUGAGGAUAACCUCUGGACUGAUUGUCCAAGGCCCCAGACCCUUGCGAAAAUCGAAAAUGCAUUUCCGGUGCGUUUUUCGGCGAAAUCCGCCGACGGAACGCGGGUUCGGUUCGGAAUUAUUCCGACAGUGCUUCGUGAGCUUUUGCGUAGUCGCUGAGCCUUGUUGGCUGGUCACUUGCGUCAUUUCGAGAGUUCGGAAAUGACGGGUGAGCGACGGUGGGUUCCGGUGUCGAAUUAGACACUUCCGGAAACCCGAAUCGAAACGAUUAUCCGACGAUAAUUGUUUCGACACGAGGAGUUGUGUUCGCUGUCAUUAUGCAUGAUUAUUUAUGUUUAGUGGCAGCAGGUGACUCGUAGCUCGAGUCGAUAUGUUCCGGGACAGUUCGUGGGUCUCGACGGAGUCCCGGUGCGAUUUCGGGACUUCCGUCGAGUUACAAUAGUUGGUUUUAGGAAACCGAUCAUCGUGGGUUUGUUUGUGAGGUUGUGAGAGCUAGUGGUUUGUUGUUUGUGUGUUAGACACUAACCCAGGGGACCCUCCUUAGGUCCUGUUGACGUUCUUUUGCAGUCAGGAGACAGACGCGACAGUUGUACAGGUGGGUACUUCGAUCCGACGUUGGUACAGUGGUUCACGCUCGGUGAUGGCUUCUUACCCUUGCUCUUUUGUUAUUCUCCAUGCUUAUGUUAUAUGUUGAGCCUUGCACCUCUAUUGUUUGCAUUACACCCACGUUGUUUGAUUAUACUCUACUCAGAUGUUUCCAUGCUUAGUAUCAUGUGUAGGAGUAUAGUCUAUCUGUAUGUGAUACCAUGUUUCCUUGUUGCUCUACUUAGCUAUUCUGCAUACCCUGUUUCAUAUUUAUAGUAGAGCGAUUCUGUGAUUAUCUGUGAGAUUAGCGAUCUAGUCGGUCGAUUCUAGUAUUCAGUAUUUGUGACCUAUUCGGUGAGUUCCUCGACCUUUGUUGUCUGAUGACCGUUGAGGUCGGUAUACCCUGAGGGGUGGGAUUGUCGGUUAGUUGCCGACGGAUGAUUAUACUUUACUCAUAUCCUAUACUUGUGACAUGAUUGGUCGAGUUUCAUAUCCUAUACUUGUGACGUGAUUGGUCGAGUUUCAUAUCCUAUACUUGUGACAUGAUUGGUCGAGUUUCAUAUCCUGUACUUGUGACGUGAUUGGUCGAGUUUCAUAUCCUAGUUGAUCUGAGUGGUCAGUCCUUGUGGUUCAUUGAGCAGUAUUUGCAUAUGUUUGAGAGGAUGUCGAUGUUGUCCCAUCCUAGUUGACCUGAGUGGUCGGUUCUUGUGCUUCUUUACAGUUGAUGACCUAUGCGGUCGAUAGGCCCUGGGGGGCAGGAUUGUCGGCUGGUUGCCGACGGUUGAUCAUUGACCAUAUUGCAUUGAUCGCCCGAUACUCGUCGCAUUUCACGAACACUGGCGGUCUGAUCCACCGCAAGGAGUGUUCUUUUCCGGAAAAGUGGUUGAAUGGUGACAACCCGUGAGCCCUAUAGGGGUUAUAUGCAUAUUAGAGCGGCAGUGGUACUGUCGGGAGGUGUUGCGGUGCGGACCUCCAGGGCAUUGGCUUGAGGUCUGCGGUGCUGACCAAGAGAGCAUUGGUUUCAGAUUGGGUACUUUUGGACUGAUUGUUCCAUUGACGCAUAUGUUUAUAGUAGCAGUCGUUGCAUGCAUACUUACAGAUCUUACUUUAUAAUUGUCUUGCUACUAUAAUAGAUAUUCAUGUAUGCUUUCUGUUCCAGUUACAGUAGUGGUAGCCAUUAUUCAGUCUAGCUCCUGCUCUCUUUCAGUUUAUUGCUACUGUAUCUAGUAUAUCUGCUCAUUACCUUAUACAUCUCUUACGUUUACUACUGUUCCUACUACAUUUUCACUGACCCUUGUUGUUACUUAGCUCUCCCUGAUCCGGUGAGUACUCCUCGCCUUCAUCGGCUUGCGGUACCCACUGGGAGGGGAGACAUGUUUUACAUGUUCUCACCUCCCCCACCAUUUUUUUCAGGUAUCGCGGGCGUUGAGUAGUGGGACGAGACGUGAGGUACGUGUAUAGCGGUCGAUAGAGCUUCCGACCCAGGUUAUUUCGAUUUAGCUAUUACUCUUUUAUUUCUGUGGAUAUAUAUAGCUUAGUCGGUUUACAUGGUUCAGUUUUGUUUUAUUAUUUGAAUAUCUAAGUUUUCAGUUGGUUUUGGAAUUGUGUUUUCUUGAAAUAAAAGGUUUUCUACCCCUCGUUGUAGCGUUUCUUAAAGAAUAAAGGUUUUCGUGUAGGGAACAGUUUUCAAAAGAAUUUUCGUGAAUUUCUAUUUAAACACUGAAUGUAAAUCUGUGAUGUGAAUGGUGAAUGUAUGAAUGUAUAAUUAUCUUCAUAUUCAUUUGGUUGUGGUUGUUUCCUGGCUAUGGUCUUGUACUUGUGCGACGCCGUGCAAAUACAGGGGAGACUCUGUCCGUGUGAAUAGUGGAUUUCCUGUAUUUGUGGCGGAUCUGGCAUACCCUGGGGUCAGGUUUGCAAAAAAAAAAAAAAAAAAAAAAAUUUCAGACGCUUUUCCGCUACCUUUUUAACCUGAAGGGACCCCGGGGCGUGACAAACCCGAACUUGAGUCCGACGGAUUUUAAAAUCCAUAUUCAAAUACGAACCCGACCAAAACUUCGAAACUCAAAUCCGAUUCCGAAACAAUUCUUUCUUCUUUCAAUAUUUUAAAAAAUAUUACUUAGAUCUAAAAUUUUAAAAUAUAGCUUCAAAUAUAAUAUCAAAUGUUUACAUACAUGUAUACAUGACCUAAAAUAAAUUUAGGUUUGGAUCAGGUUCCGGUUUGAGUCAGGUACAAUAAAAAUCCAUACCCGAAUCCAUAUCCGUUGGGUUUCUAUUUUCGAUAUCCAUAUCCGAAUCCAUAUUGAUUGGGUUUUUGUUUUUAUUAUUCAUAUCUUAAAAUACAUUCAUUUAGUAUCAAAUAAAUCUAUUUUGUUUGGUUUUGGAUUCGGAUAAAAUUUCAGAUAUCUAUAUCCAUGGGCGGAGAUUUGAUUCGUUUUGGAAUAGAAAUUCGGAAUAUUGAUCCCUCAAAUUAUACGGAAAUAAUGAAAAAUGAUUCAUUCUGUUUCCACUCCAAACCUCAAAUCCUUCCUCACCAACCAAUCGUAAUUCUGGAUGAAACCCAAAAAAAAAAACUUCAUAUAUAAUAAAAAACUAUUAAAUAAUUAAGUAGCUAAAAGCAUAUCAGAUUUAAAAAUAAAAUUGUUCAACAAUAUCUACAAAAUCAACAAAUAUUUAAAUUUAAGUAAUAGACUAAAAUUUUUUAAAAAUUUUGAGUUUGAUUCAUAAAUUUAAAUAUAAAUUUACAUUUAAAUUUUGGAAUCAAUUCAAUUUUUUAUAUUUGGGUACAUCUUUAAAUAGUACCUAAAUCUUUUUAUUUUAUAUGUCCAUUCUAUUAUAUACUAGUAUAGAGCCUGCACUGUGUCACAAGUAGUUAAUAUUUCAAAUAAUUAAUUAUUAAAAUUUUAAGAUUGAAAAAUUAUAAUUAAACAAAUAGAAAAAGGAAAAAAAACUUAAAUUAACUUUCUAUCAGUAUUUCCUUAACUUUAGGUAGCAUUUGGUUCGGGUAUAAGUAAGAAGUAGUUAUUACAGGGAUAGGUACAAGUAUGGGGGUAUAAAUAAGAACUAGUUAUUACAAUGAUAGGUACAAGUAUGGGGAUAAGAAAAAUAGCAUUUGGAUAAAAAUUGGGUUGUUUCCGAAGAGAUAAGAAAAAUAGCGUUUAGAUAGAUAAUAUGGAAUAAGAAAAAUAGUGGACAGUUAUAUAUAGAAAAUGGAGGUGUUGGUGGGGAUAGUUAUACCAGAUUAUUUUAGAUAACCGAGUACUACUAUUCUCGGGUAAAAAUUUUGCGUUUGGGUAUAAAGGGGAUAAGGGGUUAUCCCUCCCCUUAGUAUAGAGGCUGCGAGGUAGUAUUUCAAAUAAUUAAUUAUUAAAAUUUUAAUAUUAACAAAAUUAUAACUAAAGAAAUAGAAAAAAAGCUAAAAAGUAGUCUUAUGAACAUUAUGAAGAAUAAUUUUUUAUGAAUAUUUUGUAACUUUCAGUAUUUUCAAUUUUAAAUUAUACUUAUAAUUUUAUUUAAAAUUUAAUCAAAUUCUUAGUUUUGAUAGUUAUUCAAUAAUAAUUUUUUAAAAUAAAAAGUUAAAAUUGAAAAAUUUAUUUAAAAUUAAAGAAUAGGUGAAGAUGUCUUCAGCUUGUUAAAAUUGACGAAAGAGAAAAAAUAUUGGAUAUGCCUUGUGUAUAUUAAUAGUUAGUAUACUACAAUUUAUAUUAGAUGAUUAAUAUUUUAACAUCAAAAUUGAAUUAAAUAUAUAUUAUCUAAAAAAUCUAAUAAUUUAAAUUAUAUUUGACAACUUAAUUUUAAAAUUUCUAUUAAAAGAUUUUAGAUAUGCAGUGUAUAUACAAAUAUAUACUUGAUGUAGAGAAAAUUUAAAGAAAUACAUUAAUAAUUUCACUAAAAAUGAGGAAUCUUUGUUUGCAUCCCGUGCAUACCAAUUCUCCCUACACUAUACAAAAUAUUAGAUAAUUAAUAAAAUAUUUAAUAAUAAAUAUCAUAUAAUAUAAUAUAAUAUAAUUAAUAUAAAAUAUUUAAAUUAUUUAUUGUAUUACUAGAAUUUAUUAUUGAUGCAUAUUUUAAGUAGCUAGGGGCAAUUGUGCGCCUAUAUGCCCCUGAAAAAUUUUCGAUUUUUUUAUUUAUCCCUCUUAGAAGGCUAAUACUGAAAAUACUCUUCUUAUGUUCCAAGUUCUUUCUAAUAUACCCCUGGAGUUAAGUUCGUUAGUGAGCUGUUAACAGUUGCCGUUAUCUUUGAAAAAUUACCAUUUUGCCAAUUCCAAUAUACUAGUCUUGUAUCAUAACUAACUUUUCUUAUAUACCCUUCAUAUAGCAAAUACUUUUCUUAUUUGCCCUUCAAAUAUUAAUUAAUUAAUUAAGCACAUUGGGAGCGAACAGAUAAACGGAUGAGAUCGAUCGCAGCUAAACCAACUUUGGUGACUGGAGGCAUAGUUAGUUAACUCGGAUUCGGCAAAAAUUCGGUACGGAUAUAAUUCAGAUAAAAUCCGUCUUUUAAUUUUUAAAUUCAUUGAAAAAUACGGCUAAAAAACGAAUUUGGCAAUUAUUCGGAUAUGUGAUUUAUACGGGUAUUAUACGUUCACUAAUUAAAAAUUUGGGAUAAAAAAUUCGGAUAUAUAAUAAAUAUAUAAUAAUUAACAUACUAUAAAUAUUAUUAUAUAAUUUUUAUAUAUAGAAUAAAUAUAUUUAAAAAUAUAAUAAACAUAUAUUAAUAAUAUAUAAGAGUUAUAUAUUUAAAAAUAUUAAUAAAUAAUUACAAAUUUAUAAAUAAAAUAUUAUAUAAUAAUAUUUCUAUAUAUAAAUAAAAUACUAUAUGAAUAUAUAUUUAUAAAUAAAAUUAUAUAUAUAUAUAU
rnacentral:lncRNA from 1 species